CUCCGCACCCCUAUUACGGGACGAGCAAGUGGAUCCACGAGUCUCCGCGACCUGCCGCCGCCCGUGCUCCCGCCUCCUGAUUUGAUGGACGCCUUCCGCUCGCUGCACCAGUAUGACCAUCGUCGCCACCGCUUCUUUCCUUUCUCUUUCGGUUUCUCAUAUUUGCGUAGGAUUCAUGCUGCACCGGUAGAUGAUUUCGUUUUGGGUCUCUCAGUUUCCGUAGAAAUAAUAUAUUUUAUCUGGAACACACACACACACACACACACACACACAAGUCUCUGUAUGCUUCAUCAAGCAGAUCCAGACUGCAUUGAUGUUGAUUAUUCAUCUCCUAACAGCCUGCUUCUUUCACUCCAGCUCCGGGGAGGAUGAGCAGCAAAAGCCGGCCACAGCAUUGGAGGAAUCGCCGUCAUCAUGGACCUGGCUUCCCUUGUUAUCCAAUUUGUUUCAGAAACAGCACAGCCAACUGCCGUAUGGCCACUCAGCCUCCCCCUCUUGUUAUAUAUCAUCAUGUUUAGUCCAAGUCAAAUUGUUUCAUUUGUCAAUGGAGGCUUGUUGCUUGGAUCGUUCAUCGAUGGAGGAUUUGGGAUAACAAGGGUUUCUGUACAGGAUGGUUGGUUUGGUGUUGUUCAUGUUUUUCCUCGCCAAUAAAAUUUUGCAUCCAAUUGGUUUUGAGCCGAUGUUUGGCAAACCAAUCACUAGACUUGCCAAAUUUUGGCUUUCCCAAUACCGUAGCGCAAAAGUUAGCAACAACUAACCUAUCCAGCCCGCAUUUCACACCGAUUUCAGGCCUCUUAUCGACCUUUUGCCAUGAUGAUACCAUGGAUUAUUCAUUCACCACCUAAGAUAAUUUGGUUUUGCUCAUCGAAACUGCUUGUUCCAAUGCAGGUCUCAGGAGCAUGUGGCUGAGUCUGCGUCCGGACAAACGCUGCAGCAGCUGGACGUCUCGUCAUCAAACAACUUGGUUGAUGUUACACCAUUCAAGGGAUUGUCCAUCACUGCCACGUCCUCGUCCUCUCAGCGUGACACCAUUUGGGUCCGAUACCAGUGUGAUUGGGGGCUCACAUUUUACACCAGGAUCGAUCUUCAUGGAUAUUUCCACACAUAUCCUCAUGUGGGUGGGCCAUUUCAGAGCUUAGAGCAAGUUAACAAUGCCAUUGAUCGCUAUCUUCAUGACCGUCGGGAUCCAAUAAUGUAAACUUUCUCAACUCUUUUCUUUGCGUGCACGCUUGCAAUUGAUAAUAUAGUCAAACAAGUUCCAAUUAAUGCUUUUUCCUUCUAUGUUUUAAGCCCCAAAGGUGAUUACAGUUUUUGCAUAAUUAAUCAGGAGAAGAACGAAUGAACCCUAGUUAGAUUAUAGAAAAUUUGGUACUUUCAUACAUACAGAAGAAACAAAAUGACGCACCAAACUGCCUUAAUUUUUAAGUUCCUGUUCUGAGACCACUUCAAGUUAAGGAGACAUUUUAACUAUAUUUGUGAGAGAGUUGCUGAAGUAGUGCGUCAAAUUAAUAUAGAUGCUAUAUGUGCUACCACUUUGUAAUUUUGUAUGUAGGUCUCUUUCGUUUUGGUCGAUUAAUGUCAUGAGCUACGCCAGAAGACAUGUGCGAGCUGUUUGAUCCUUGUUAAACAAUCCUGCAUGCAUACUAUUUGUCCCUAAUCCUAUUUCCGGAUGAUAGCAUUGAAACUAUAGCCAGUACCUCUUUGUACACUCCACUGUUUGUGAAAGUAAAAUAUAUUAACCAUGAAGGAAUCUCUGAUCUAAACUAGGUGCGAGGAGCGACCUGAGUUCUAUGAAGUGGGUAAGGCUAGUGUUGAGAGGGGUAUACGGGACUCUCUUUUCUGGCCUGAUGGCUCAAAGAAGAUGUACGUGAAAUCUGAGCCGGUUGAUGAAAGCCGUUGCUGGAUGCUCCAGCUGGUUCAAGCUUUGGUGGACAAGUAUAACGAGGAUCACAAUCUUUUCAAGGUUUGCUCUUUGUCCUCCUUCCUGUCCUUACUCUUUAUCAUGCUACCUGUAUUGCUUUGUGUUAUACGACUGUCCUAUUCGUUCAUCUAACAACUAGUCGCUGAUGGGAUCCAUUCUUCUUAUCUCAGGAUCUUGCGUUUGAAGUUAAAGAUGUUGUGUGCUACGAAGUAAUAUAUGAGGGCAACUGCCUCUACUACCAUAUUAAUUUCACUACAAGGACCAAAGGAGCAAAGACCGCCGACAAUCUAUUCUUUUCUGAAGUCAAACGUAUGCCAGGAGAAGACAAAAAAUUGGUGGUCAGCUGUACCUGCAUGGUUGAUCCUUCUGAUAACGGUAUUUUGUACUCUCAUCAAGUGUCGCUGAAAUUUAGUUCAAACGUUUUUUUCUUUCAAACCGUAUUUUUACUCUUAUCAUGGUUGACCUGUUUGUUUGUGCCUCGUGGGAUUUUAUUCUUGUAAUAUCUCAAAGUAGUUCAUGCACAUCCAUGUGUAAUAUCUCAAACUAGUUUAUUACCUUCAGUUAAUCAGCUAUCAUUGUUUAAAGGUCAUUAUCUCCUCUCUUUAUUUAAAGGUCUCCAUGGUUGACCGUUUUGAUAACGGUACUUUAUACUCUUAUCAUGUGUUACUAAAAUACAGUUUAAACGUUUAUGUCUUUAGUGUAUGAUCUCUGAAUUGACCUGUUUGUUUGUUUGUGCCUCGUGUCAUCUUAUCGAUUAUCCUUGAACUUUGCAUUGUGAUAUCUCAAACAAGUUCAUGCACAUCCAUGUGUAUUAUUACCUUCACUUAAUCAGCUAUCAUUAUUUAAAGGUCCUUAUCUCCUCUCUUUCCUUAAACGAAGGUCAAUGCUACGGCUGUGAAAGUAAUAUGAAGCACCCCAAUGCUGAUGCAUAUGCUGGUGGUCACUCAAAGGUUUGCAACUUGAAGGGAGAAUGUCUUGGUCCUAAUAUAGCGGUCGCAGAGACUAUGGAUGACGUAAGUGUGAUGUUUUUAUUUCCUGGUAAGCUGGCGUUUGACAUUUUCUGUUGCUGUGUUCGUUUUUAAUUGAAUGAACGUCUUUUACAGUGGAAGGCUGAGGAAGCGAGGGUAAGACAAAUGUUCAAGGUAAAGACGCUUCAUCUUGUGUGCUAGGUAUAUAAUAACAUGAUGUUGGUUAGUUGGUUGAUCAAUUCCUGCUUGUGCAUUUGUUUCCAUCAGGGCCUUGACGAUCCAACUGUUGUGGCGCGACUCAUGGAACCACCCAAGUUGAACUUCGGAGCAACCAAGGCCACCGAUGAGGAAGUAGAACGUUUUAUGAAUUCGAUCAUGGGACCAUGCGAUCCUAACCUUUGCACCACUUAUGGCAUCCUCGAUGCUAGCGCCGUAGAAAGAUUUAGAGUGGCGCUAAUGUAAGACCAAGGAUGCUGCCCGGAGUUAUGUUGCACUUUCUUGUGGCUAGAUGGUUCCUAUCAGCAAACCGUUCGAUACCAAGCUAUUUUGUGUCGCCUGUAGAAGAAGCUGAUCGAAUGCUUAUUUGGUUUGAAGAUUGUUAUAUGUACGGCUUUUAUUAUGUGUGUAUGGCAGUACUGGUUAUGGCUGCUCGUCCUCGUAUCCAUUUUUUUUAUCGACUGCUUGGGUAUGUCAAAUAUAACAUAAGAGCAAUCUCCAAUAGAUGGUCUAAAAUUUGGCGGUCCAAAACCAGAGAUGUAAAAUUUGGACCGUUAAAAAGUGCGUUUUGAAGCUCCGAAAAAAGCUCAACUCCAAUAGAUGGUCCAAAUUGAUGGUCCAAAAAAGCAACUCCAACAGAUGGUUCAAAAUGAAGAUGUAAAAUCGUCUUGAUCGUCUUCUUAACCUCGGGACGUCGGCCGCCUUCGUCAAAUCUGUCGCCAUCAAGCUCUCCCCGAGCGCGCCAUCCUCCCCGUGAUGAGCUCCUCUCCCAAUCCCCCUAUUUUUCCCCUUCGAUCGGUGUCGUUUGCCACCGCUCCCGUGCUCGUCCGUGGUCGCCAUGGCCGGAGCCUGAGCUCCCCGGUAUGUGCUCCUUUGCCGGCCAGCAGCGACAGAGGAGGGCAGCAGCCGACGCGAACACCACGAGCAGCGGCAUAGGCACGCUGCACGGGCCAGCAGCGACGACAGCUCGGCUGGACAGGGUCAGUGCGGGGCGGCGGCGGGGCCGGGAGGCGGUGGCAACGGGGCGGGCCAGCAAGCAGCGGUGGGCGGCGGCCUAAGGACCCGGCGGAGGCCUACAUGGGCAGCCAGACCGCCGGAGGCGCCGAAUCCCACCGCGGCUGCCUCCUGAUUCGGCGGCGCCCGGGCGGCUGCGAGAUGGCUUCCGGCGAGGGAGGCGACGGGGGCGAGGGCGGCGCGACGAUUUGGGGCGGUGGCGGCGACGGCGGCGGGGAUUUGGGCGGUGGCGGUGGCGGAUCCGCCCGACUGGUGUUCGGGCGGGUGGACAGGCGCGGCUGUGAAAUGAAAUGAAGUGGCGGUUGGGCGUUGGCAGGUGGUCACCGAAUUUGGACCAGAUGCAUCUCGUGAUGUAAAUUUGCACCGCGAGAUGUUGUAUUUUACAUCACGAGGAGGCCGCGGUCCAAUUUUUUUACAUAUGAACCGUCUGUUGGAGUAGCGUUGCUUGCCCCAGACGGUUCAAAAGUUAGGUAUUUUUACGUUUAAACUGUUUAUUGGAGAUGCUCUAACUGUGUCUGAUCUAUGCAUGACGCGUUGAAGGAGAGAACACCGACCAGAUGGACAUAUAUACAACGACUCACCAAAACUUGAUGUUUGCCCGUUUGGUUUUCAAGCAAAAAGAAGGCUUAAGACGAAAAUCCAAAUCUGAGCCCGAGCUCAUCUGCACCUGCGCUCACCAAAAAAAUUAAAAUAAAUACUAAAAAAAUUCAAAAAAUUCCAAAAAAAAUUGGGAUGGUGGACAAUUUGAUGCGUGAGGUGCGCCCCAAUUUUCAAAACAUUUGGACUUAUGUGCAGCUCUCAGCAAAAAAGACAAAUCGGAGGUCUGUAAAAAUGUGUACUGUUCAUAUACUGUUUUGGUCUGAUUUGUCUUUUUUGCUGAGAGCUGCACAUAAGUCCAAAUGUUUUAAAAAUUGGGACGCACCUCACGCAUCAAAUUGUCCAUCACCUCAAUUUUUUUCGGAAUUUUUUGAAUUUUUCUGAUUUUUUUACGAAUUUUUUUUGAGCGGGUGCAGAUGCACCCGGGCACCGAAACGCCGCACUCCCCUGACCUCUUUUUUUAAAACCGAGAAAGCGCUUGCUGCUUGAUCUCUUUUGUGUCCAACUUCUGGCCAUCAAUGCCUAUGAUGCAUAAAUCGAUAGCUAGCCCAUCGAGAUACGUUCGGCUAGAGGCGGACGUACACGUACACGCUGCAAACGUCGACCUUCAGUGCAUGUGUUAAUUACCUUGGUCUUUGACUGAUUACAAGAGAUAACUCUACUACAGAUCUUAACAUCUAGGAGGACAUGCUCGUGCAAGGCUGAAUGCAUACGGUGGCUAUUAGUACAAGCUGAUCCCUGAGUGUAGCUGAAUAUGCAUGCAACAACGUAACAGUCGAUGCAAACCAAAGAAAACCGAGAAAAAAUGCCACUUGCCAAACACCUCGGCAGUUUUAUCAAAACUGAGAAAAACUAUGGUUUUUAGAAACUAAAGUAUUUAUUGCCCAUGUAUUGAAAUACUUAGAUUUUGGAAUACCAUGGUUUUGAAAAAACGUUGUUGCCAAACUAGGCCUAAAAUGUCAAGUCACACAGGAGACACACCAAACAUUGUCGUUGUAAUUUUAGCACAGUAUAACCGAGGCUAAACCGAGCUCUCUCACGUCCUUAGCCAUUUUGGCCGUCGGAUUUCGGGUUUGGAUCGUUUCUGGCCGUCCGAUCUUUGUUUCAGCGCAGUUUAUGGCGACCUGGGCCUCCUGUGCAGCUACUCCGGCGGAAAAAUCCGACUACGCUGGUUGAUUGGGCCUAGAGAGGGUAAGCACGGCCCACUGAUACACCCAACCCUGUUCGUUUCACGCACCCGUCUCACAGCUACUUCGUUCUCGCAGCGCCUCCUCCCCCCGACGUCUCCUCUUCUUUCUGGCGACCUCGACCACCGCCGCCGCCGACCACGACCUCGAGCAGUGGAUCUUACUCCUCCGUCCUCGACCUCGAGCGGCGGUAACCAUCCUAAAUCGCACACGUGCUCUUCACCGUUAAGAGAAAUCCAUCGACGUCCAUCGUGCCUCGCGCGACCUAGGUAUUUAGAUGACGCGUCGUGUGCGUGGGGAGUGAGGGUGGGGGAUUUGUGCGUCCGGGGUUGCGGAGGGGGUUCGAUUCGGCAAGGCUGAGGCGUGGGGGCGAGCGGUCGGGCCACUGGACCUGCGCCCACAUGCUGCAGGUUAUGGCCGGCAUCGACGGCGGUGGGGACGCACCGGCAGCGCGGCAGCCUGGGUUGACGCCCAUGGAGCUCAUCGAGCAGGUGUGUCUCUCUCUUUCUUCUCUGCUCUGAUCUAACCACCCGUGGCAGCGGUUGGCUCCGCCUGUGUGCAGUGCGCUACUCUGUUUUUCUCUUGUUCCCGUGGGGAUUGGUUACUUGGUUAGUCCUGUUGGUUCUGCGAGCGCGAUUCAUUCCUUGAUCGCUGGGACGGCUGGGGAUUCGGUUUCUAGAAUCGAUGGCCAUGUUUACUGCACGAUGUAGUAGGACAUUGGUAAUUUUUGUUUUCGAAGAACACAAAUUUUCAGCAUCAGUUGUGUUUCUGACUGGCUUAAAAAACAUAUGUACCUCUCUCUCUCUCUCUCUCUCUCUCUCUGCGAUGAUUCGGGCGUUUAUUAAAAGUUUCAAUGCUUCAGUCAGGUAGUACAAGUGUAUGCAAAAUAUUUCAAGUGUGCUAAUUAAUGUAGUGGUAUUGUGUCCCCCCUUACAGACGGUGAUUACAUGUGGAGUUCGGGAAGAGCAGCUGCAGCAUCAUCAGUACAUGCCUGCUCAUGUACUUGGAGCCUUGGAGGAGCAGAACGAAAAUAUUUCCAAUGUCACGUUGGACAUCUUGACAGCAGGCACUGAUUUAUCCGAGGCAGCAAGUCCACCAAGAAGGACGAAGACGGCAGCAUCAGCGACGACGAUGCGUACACUCUUUUUUAUUUGUUAAGAUGAGCUAGAUUCCACCCAGUUUUGCUCACAUGAUUGACUCAUUUUUAUUUGUUGGAUCAUGAUGCACUAAAAGAUGUUCAAAAUUGAUGGCAUGAACACUCUUCUAUAUUUAAAUAGUUGAAAUGAGGGAUUUUCUACUAUAGAGAAUCCUGACAGCACAGUCAUUAAGGAUAAUAAAACAUGUUAUUUAGCAAUAAUACAUAGGCUUGCAUAGUAAUUAACUGGUCAUUUGAUUUGUUGAUUACAUCCACUUUAUACAAUUCAUUCUGCAGAGGGAAAGCAGUACAAUAAAGUCUUUUUUAGUACAGCAAAGCAACUCCUUAGUUCUUAUCAUGUCUACUCACUUGUGGAAAUAUUUUCUUAUGUCAUUGCAUUUUAAUCAUUACAUAACAUUAUUACGCCCUACGAUCCAAAAUACCUUUCAUGGUUUUAGUUCCUCCUUUGUUAUUUGCUCAUCUUAUUGUGGUGUUAAUUGAGUGUACCAUAUAAACUUUACAGGUUACUGUAAUCUUGUGAAGCAAAGGUAACUGCUUCUGUUGAGUUGUUACAGAAUGUCCUAUGGAGGAAAUCAGCAACAAAGCAUACACUAUGUCGUAAUUCAAAUUUGCUUGCAAGAUUUCCUAGGAAACCCGAUCCCUGUAAUUCCAGUGGGAUAGAUGAUUAAUUGAACACAUAUAACUUAUAAUGUGUGAUUUUAAAAUAAUUGAAGGAGGUUUGGUGAAAUUUUAAAAAUUGUUGUGACUUAUCAACUCUUGUGAAAAAUAAGAACUACUCAUGCAUUAUUUUCUAAAACAAUAUCCUGUCAUGAUUUAGACAAUCUCAUCUACCGCAUUAUUCCUUGGUUGCAGGUCAGUAAGGUCGUCUUACUUUGAUCCCUGGGUUAAUGAUGUUACUUUCCUAGAAGGUAGAUGGAGUUAUGACAUUAGGCGGUUGACUAGAUGGUCACCAAUUGUUGAUUUGUGUGCCAGGGACCACGCCCGCAUCUCUGCUCCAGUCAAUCACAUUGUGCUAUGAUGCGCACAUCCUCAAGUCUGGGAAGCGACCCUGGUAACCCAAUUACAAGCGCAUUUUUUUAAUCCUAUCACAUGCGCAAUCUCAUCAGUGGUUAAUUUUCCAUUAUCUGGUUCAAGUGUUUAUUGGUCAGCACUGAUAAUUGGGUUCUUAUAAAUAAACAUAUUUGAUGAUGUCUUCUUGAAUCGAUCAGCCUCCCUAGAUGAAAUCAAUAAACUGGAGUACUUGAAUCUAUCUGCCACUUAGCCCUUGAAACCAGUACGACUACUAGCCAAAUACACUCAAAUCAUAGAUCUCUCUACAAUCUACUGUAACUAUCUCACAUGAUAUAGUACUAAAAGACAAAGUUUUUCAAUUUUUUUACUAAAUACUAUCAGUUCUUAAAACUCAAAUCAUCCUAUUGUUGCAAAGUUGUGGGGUAUAUGUGAUAGCUUAUGGUUGUUCGAAAAACUAAGACCAUGAUCUAUCCUAAAUGUGAGAUUUCAUUGUGAAUUAGUUGGUAGGAUUAAUUCUUUUGUUCUGCUGCAGCUCACUCUUAAAUAAUGGCAAUUAGUGUCCAGAGCCCUUCGCUGUCAACAAACUGGAUGUAGACACUCAGGUGGAAGCAUCCGCUCAGCCCCAAAUUGAUAUUCUCUUUAAUGAUUCUCGGUAUGUAUUUAUAUCAGCCAGAACAUCUUAUAUGGGUUUCUUCUCAUGAUAUUUGUGUCACAUCCCUAGCUUCUGGCAUUGCUCUAGGCUAGCUUCAUGUGUGCAUCAUGUCUAUAUUUUUGAAACUUGAAUUGAGGAAUAUUGGAAGCCUCAAAAUCCUAAAUAAAAGAGGGGCAAAAACCCUAGAAAUCUCAUUCAUUGCUCCAAAAGGCUCUUCUUAAAUGUUUGAUAAUUUAACCCGAGAGAUGGUCCUAUGUCUCAUUCCGUGAGUUGUUCGAUCUUCAAGAAGAUCGACCCUUCUAGAGUCUCCUUCCCUCCAUGUCAUGUUGGCAGGAUUUCUCAAAACAAGACAUCAAGACAAUGAUGGUGAAUGAAUCAACGUUCAACUGAAGUGCACCCUGGAUCGUGAAGAUUGUACUAGUUUGCGUUUCCCCUUCAUCCUACCCUACGCUUGAAUCUCGAGAUGAGAUUCUUGUUUAGUGGGGGUGAGUUGUCACAUCCCUAGCUUCUGGCAUUGCUCUAGCCUAGCUUCAUGUGUGCAUCAUGUCUAUAUUUUUGAAACUUGAAUUGAGGAAUAUUGGAAGCCUCAAAACCCUAAAUAAAAGAGGGGCAAAAACCCUAGAAAUCUCAUUCAUUGCUCCAAAAGGCUCUUCUUAAAUGUUUGAUAAUUUUUGGUAAGGGUUCUGGUCCCAACCAAAAUAUUGAACAUUUUUAAGGAUUUAUUUUUGGGACUUUGAAUUUAAAUCAUUAGCUAUUUGAAUUUGAAUUAUAUUCAUAUAAUUAGAAUAUAAUUUCAAAUACCCCUGAAAUAUUUUAUGAGCUUUUGGAAAAGUCCAUCUAGCCAAAUAAAAUUAUUCAGAGGAGUUUUUGGCAUUGUUUGAAUUUGUUUAAAAUUCAAAACAGUGGCAAAACGAAAUUAAAUAAAACAAAACAGAAGAAAAAAAUAAAAGAGAGAGAGAGGACUUACCUGGCCUCACCCUGCAGCCCACCAGAACCGGCCCAGCCGGCCCAGCCCGCCACCGCUACUCCCCCCCCUGUCGUCUUCCUCUUGCCAGUGGGAGCAGCUGCGUGCUCGCACGCGCGCGGCCGAGGAGGCCACCUCCUCCCUGCCUGGCUGCCUCCUCCUUCCCUGGUCCCUCCCGCGACGCCACGCAGCCCCGACCCCCUCUCACUUCUCCCUCGCUCUCUGGACCUCCCUCCCCCUCGCUCCUCUGUUUCCCCUCCCGCGACCGAACGGAGCCGCCGCCACCGACGAGAGCCACCGUGGCUACCGGCCACCCCACGGCUCACCGACGCCCCAGGAAGCUCCGCCGGUCCUCCCUCUACCUCCUCAACGAGCCACGAGGCCCCGGACGUGCCACAACACCGCCCUUGAUGCCUUCUUCAACCUCGGGACCGCCGGCCAUCUUCGUCAAAUUCGCCGGCUCCGGACCGUCCCCGACCUCGCCGAGCGUCCCCUCGUCAUCGCCGUGAGUCACUGACCCUCUCCCCUAACUCAGCAUGCUCCCCUCCGUGCCGUAGCGCCGUUCCCCACGAGCACCGAAGCCACCGUCCGCCAUUGCUGCUGCACGCAUAGCCUCCAUGCUCCCCUGGCCUCACUGAGCUGCUCUUAGUGCUCCCCAUGUCUAGCAGGUGCUGCCCAGCCUCUCCAUUUGCUCACUGAUGCACCGUAGUGACGCGCCCGAGCACCACCGAACACCAUCGCCGCCAAAGCUCGUCGCCGGCAUGAGUUCCGGCGACCCCACGACCUCCCACUCGGUCCUCUGGAUGCGCGGGAGCAAGGGCCAUCCCCUGGUGCCCUCAGCGCGCCAAACUGACGCCUCUAGCGCAAGUCCGGCGUGCCCCGCCGUGUUCUGUGGUCGCCGUCGGCUGGUCUCCGGCGUGCUGACGUGGCGUCGUCGUUAGGGGCUAAUGACCCUGCUAACUAACCCUGUGACACUGACAGCGGGCCCCGUAGCGGGUCAAAGCCCGAGGCAACGCGGGAUUAGCCCCUGUGUCACUGACGUGUGGACCCCACACGUCAGGUUUGACCCGAGCCGGCCCCUGUUGACUUGCUGACGUCAUGCCAACGUCAUGCUGACGCAGUAAUGUUUUCUGGAUUUAAUUUAAUUCUGAAAUUCCAGAAAAUGAAUAUAAACUUCUAAAAUUCAUAGAAAAUUAACCGUAACUCCAAAUUAAAUAAUUUAUAUAUGAAAAAUUAUCAGAAAAAUUCAAGGAAUCCAUCUGUACCAUUUUCAUGCAUGUUAGAACAACUUAUAGCUGCUGUUUAGCACAAAUCAAAUAAAGGGCAUUUAAAUAAUCACAUAUGGAGUUUGAAUUUGAAUCUUGUAUUCAAACCAACUUCAUUUAAUCUGUUGCUAGUUGCAUUGGCUCAAAACACAUUCAUUUUGCCAUGUCAUGAUCAUGCAUCAUAUUGUGCAUUGCAUUGAUUGUGUUCCCUUCUGUGUUGCCGGUAUUUGUCCCCUCUCGAUAGACGUGAUACCGAUGAUGUGAUUGUUGACACUGAUGAAGACUCAAUGUUAUCUUCAAAAGUGCCAGGCAAGCAAAACCCCCUUGUUCAUUCCGAUACAAUCCUACUCUCUCGCUCCUGCUCUCUUUUACUGCAUUAGGACAACACCGAUUCAUCUGUUACUUGCUGCGGUAGCUGAACCCCUUUGUCCUUUGCAUGACCUGUCAUUGCCACAGUAAAUAGAUGAAACCCACUAGCAUGAGUAGGAGUUGUUUGAGCCCUGAUGUGCCUACUCAUUCAUGUUUGUUUGUCAUGCCUGCUAUUGCUUAGAGUUGAGUCAGGUCUGAUUCAUCGGGGAUGAAUCAGAGGCGUGUGAACCUGUCCUACUGUGUGUGAGCUAAGUGUGUGAACACGAUUUGGUAAAGGUAGCGGUGAGAGGCCAUGUAGGAGUACAUGGUGGGUUGUCUCAUUGCAGCCGUCCUCAGGAACUGAGUUCUGUGUUUGUGAUCCAUGAUUCAGCUACUACCACGCAUUGGGCCCGAAACCAAUGGACCCUCUCGGCUUCUUGAUCACCCUUGUCCUCUGUCCAGGAGUUGCAAGUAGUUUCUGGUGUUUGUAGUAUGCUGGAGGCCGUGGGCAGCGCUGACCAUAGGGUUGGGCUGUGAUGUGGUAGGCACGUGGCACGGUGUACCGGGCGCCCGUUUGGUGUCUCGGAACCCUGUUCACAUCGUUUGGGGCUGUGAGCGAAACUCCGGCCGGAUCUCCUCAUGGAUGGAACCCGAAUAGGCGAUAAACCUGGACUAGAGACUUAGGUGAUUAGGUAGGUCGUGGCCGACACCCACGUUGGGCUUCCGCUUGAAGGUUGCCGAGUACAUGUCGUGUAAACGGCGGUAAGUGGUGAGAGCGUGUGUGAAGAAGUACACCCCUGCAGGGUUAACCUAAUCUAUUCGAAUAGCCGUGUCCGCGGAAAAGGACUUCUGGGUUGCUUAUAUCAGUUCAUAGACAAGUGAAAGUGGAUACUCUAAAAUACGCAAGAUAAGCGUGAGUGCUAUGGAUGGCGUUCUCGUAGGGAGACGGGAGCGGAUCCAUAGUGGUGUAUUGAUAUGGUGAAUAUGUGGACUCGUGUGCGCCACCUCAAAAAAGUUACUCGCAGUCGUAGUUCAGGAUAGCCACCGAGUCAAAGCUGGCUUGCUGCAGUUAAACCCCACCAUCCCUUUGUUGAUAAUGAUGCAUAUGUAGAUAGUUCUGAUUUAAGUCUUGCUGGGUACAUUUGUACUCACGUUUGCCUAUUUUAUGUUUUUGCAGAGAGACUUCAGUCUCACUAGUAUUUCCGCGUGGUCUUCGACGUUUAGCUUGUUACCUCAGCUACGAUCUUGUGCCUCGGCAGGAUUUGGUAGAUAGUCAGGCUUCUCAGCCUUUCUCAUUUAUAGAUGUCUGUACUCAGACAUGAUAGCUUCCGCUUGUGCUUGAUUUGUAUGCUCUGAAUGUUGGGUCAUGAGACCCAUGUUUGUAAUAUCUCGCUCCUCGGAGCCUAUUGAAUAGAUUACUUGAGUCAUAGAGUCAUGUUGUGAUGCCAUGUUGUAUUUGCACAUAUCGAGCAUAUUGUGUGUAUGUUAUUGAAAUGCUUGGUAUGUGUGGGAUCUGACCAUCUAGUUGUUUAUCUUUAGUAGCCUCUCUUACGGGGAAAUGUCUCCUAGUGUUUCCACCGAGCCAUGGUAGCUUGCUACUGCUCCGGAACACUUAGGCUGGCCGGCAUGUGUCCUUCUUCGUUCCUGUGUCUGUCCCUUCGGGGAAAUGUCACGCGGUGAAUACCGGAGUCCUGUUAGCCCGCUACAGCCCGGUUCAUCGGAGUCCUGCUAGCCCAGUGCUACAGCCUGGAUUCACUCGCUGAUGACCGACACGUUCGAUGCUGGGUCAUGGAUGCCUGUCCCUGUAAGUCUGUGCCGCUUUGGGUUUACGACUAGCCAUGUCAGCCCGGGCUCCUUAUCAUAUGGAUGCUAGCGAUACUGUCAUAUACGUGUGCCAAAAGGCGCAAACGGUCCCGGGCAAAGGUAAGGCGACACCCGUGGGAAUACCGUGCGUGAGGCCGCAAAGUGAUAUGAGGUGUUACAUGCUAGAUCGAUGUGGCAUUGAGUCGGGGUCCUGACAAUUUGUACCUUACAAAGAUUUUGUCUUCAUGCUUGAAUUUUACCAGGUUCUUUCCUGUUUUUACCAUUCAAUUAUUACACAGUUGUUAUGCGUAUCACAUUUGCUGUAAGGUAUAUAUGUUGCUUUCUGUUGGAGAAAACAAUUUUGCAGUCUAUUGAUUGAGUGCAUGGCUGUCAUGAUUUCCCACCGUCAUAUCCCAUUCCUUUAUUAGCUAUUUGUUGGUAAUCUCAUGAGUUGAUUUGCUCUUUCAAAAUUUUCAAGUUACUUCCUAAUUUAUGGAUAACACAGAUGAAGUGUGCUUUGACAGAUAUAACAAGGAAACAUCCACGUCUAAUUUGUUCUUGAUAUAUUUAUAUUGGUUUAUAUCUCGCUGAUCAUACCAUUUUUUAUUUGUGAUAUUAGAAUCUUUGCCUUCUCAAACUUACAUUUUGUUGGGAUUGCAUUAUGCUCAAUGAAUUUGAUAGAAGUAUACCCAGAGGAUGCUAAACAGGGAAACAAAGUACACUCGGUAAAUUUAAUUUGCUUUGUCAAGGAUAUAUAGGGCAAAAAUUCCUCUUAUAGCUCUCCUCGUAUUUAUUGCAAUAAGUUUUUGGUCACCAUCUGGAAUCUUAUUCCAGGAUCCAUUUUAAUCCCAUACAUUUUUCCUGCUGAGUCUUUGGAUGACUGGACUAUUACCUCUCCAGGAGCCAUACAUUUUUAUUUUUCUGCUGUUUAUGUCUUGGUAUUAAUUAGUUGUAGUCCGUGAACAUUGUUGUGUAUGCUGUCAUAUACCAAGCCAAUUUGUAUCCAUGAACCUUGAGUUUUCCCUUGAAUAAUAUAUAUGUUUGACUUUAUGCAAAUUUAAUGUGUUUUAUGUGGCAUUUAUUUACAUUUCUUUAUCAUUUUAUCGUAUAAAUAGACGGGCGUGGCAACGCGCGCCUUCAAUUAUCUAGUAUCCUGGAUUUCCAAACCCAUUUGAAGUAUUGAAGUAGGUUGAAGAAAAGAGACCAAACCUAGGGAAGAGCAGCGUCGUACUACGAAAAGCGAUCAUACACCCACAAACUCCGUUUUAAAAGUGAAGACUUGUGCUUGCACUAAUAUCUUGAGCUUUAGGAUUGGAGGAAUAAGAGAACCAAACAUAGGUCCUGUGGAGAUACUUGUACCCCCAUCUCGUCAAUUAUCAAAUAUCAGGAUUUGUAUCUGUUUCUGUUAUCCAUCUCAUAUAGAACUUGUUCUUCCUGUGGUAGGAAAUGUUCCCAUGGUUUGAAAGGCAAACGUGGUGAUUUUGUCAAUUACGAAGCUCCAGAAAGAUCCUUCCUUUAAGUGUUUUCUGUGCAGGGUGUGUGCGUAUCGUCUAUGUUCUAGUAGUUGAUGCUUUAAAAAAGAACUGAAAGAAACAAGCUGAAACUGUUUGAUAAAAAGAAAUCAUCACGCUGAAAUUUGUGAAAAAUCCUCCACUCAUUCAUACCAUGUUAUCCCUCGGAAGGACAAUUCAAUUGCUCAUUUUCGCAUAUGUUACACAGGAAUGUUCAUUUUCGAUCUAUAGACUAAUAUGCUCACUGUGAAUCCAUCUUCAGCUACAGAAUAUAAAAUAUAUGAAUUGUCAUCGAUCGGCUAUGUAAUCUAUUAACAGCUCGUCUUUGAUAGAACCUUCAUCUAAAUCUUUCAGCUCAUCUUUGAUAGGAAUGCAAGAUCUAUGGACUAGUACUGAUUUAAUCCAUCUUCAUCUAAAGAAUUUAUAUAAAUUUGUUCGGCGGGAUCUGGUAUAUAUUUCAUCACAGAAUCUAAAGCCGAAGUAAUCCGGCACCUCACGCCGACAAAUUGGGCACUUUGACUGUUGAUAGAACCACUGUUUGAUGCACGGGGUAUGGAAGGCAUGGGCGUGGAAGCACGGCAGCCUGACGAUCUCCUCGUCACCAGUCUCCAAGUCCAAAUGGCAAAUUGCACAUUCCUGGUGCCGCGAGAGCUCCUGCAGCAGCGUCGGCCUCUUUGCACGCGCGGAUUAGGGCCUGUGGAUGGCUGAAAACCAAACAUACCAGCAGUGACGGCAAGUGGAGGUCAUGUCGAAGCGCAGGGUGUCUCCCUCAAGUCUGCCAAUCUUGCGGCCGAUCUCAUUGGCGUAGUCCAUUUGCGGGUGAUCAUGGCCCCCCAGUUCGCGGGGGCGAGAUCGUAGUCGCCGGUAACCGGCCCGUCGGCCAGCAUGCGGUGGAUGAGGUCGCGGCAGGCCUCGUAGUUCCGGAAGACAGCAGGAUCCGCGACCUCUACCGCGGUGGUCGAAGGGCGCCCGGUCAUCGAACGAGGAAUCGAUGCUCCACCCCGCCGGCGAGUUGGCGUGGGUCCCGAUGCUGCGCCUCCCAUGCGACACAACCACGUCGCCGUGGAUGCGCAGGGAGCUCGGGAGAUGGCACGGCUUGCGGUGGUGGAAGACGCGUAGGAGAACUCUCCCACCGCCGUAGACGUGCAUCUCCGUGACCUCCGGCGCGUGCGGCCACGGUGGCAAUACCAUGGCCCCGGCGCCUUCUCUCUCUCUCUCUCCUAGUCUCUCUAAGGAACGCGAUUUCUUAUAGGCGAAGGAAGGAAGGAGGACCGGCUGUAAACUGAAGGAAUCUGCUGAGGGUCUCCAUCUGGAAACGGAAAGUGGGCCCACUGCCUGUGACCGUUGGAAGAGAUAUGUAUGACGAGCUUGAAGACUUUCCCUUUCGCUCCGUGUAAUUAAUAUCGUUGAAGACUGGAUACAGUUUAGAGACAAACCAAAAAUGGCGAGCUUCAAUUUCCUGCCCUAGGGCGUCAUAAACUGAUGUGCCAAAAACGUAGCGUGAGACGAGGACAGACUGACAGACCAAAAACGACACCUUCAGUCUCCGCCCCUUCAGAAUCUUCACAACUGUUGAGCAGGGUUUAUCAGAUGCUUUCCUACCAACCUCUAGUGCAUAGCAAUUGCAAGGCAGCUAGUGGGCGUUCCUUCCAUUCCAAGUUGCAUAGCAAUUACCGGGAACCUGAAGCAAAGCAUCAGCAGGAGGAUGUGCAGCAGAUACGUGAUGAUGAGAAGGGAAUUUCAGGUGUAACACAUGGAAUAGAAGGCGUAUUCUGCUGGAGCUAGGAAUCUCAAGUUGGUAAGCCAAAUAACAAAUCUCCUCGGUGAUUGUGUAAGGACCAUAGUACUUGGAGGACAGUUUAUGCUUUGCUCUUCUGACGACAGAUGACUGAACGUAUGGUUGCAGCUUAAGGAAAAUUCUCUUAUCAACAGUGAGCGAAAGUGCAGUUGUAUUUUUGCCUACCUGGGAUUUCAUGCGACAAUGAGCCCAGAAUAGAUGCUAUCUUACUGAAUCAACAACCAAUGCCCCUUGUAAAAGCCACUCAGUGAUGUCCUCUCCCCAUCCUGAAAAAAGUAUCGCUCCCGUGCGGCUCCUCUAGCUGCACUGGCGCGCCCAACUCCGGCCCCUGCCGGUUCCCUCCCCACCUCCAUCCUUCCUUGGCACCGCCAGAGGGCAUGGCCGGGCGAAGCCUGGUCAGUGCCCACGCUGGUGGGGCUCUCUCGUCCUCCCACAUGGUCGACCAUCACUGACGGUCGCAAAUGUCAGAGAUGAAGAAUCCCGACAAUUUGGUGUAAUGCACUUGGGGACGAAGGGAGGAUCGAGCAUCACCGACGGUCGAAUAUAUCAGAGAGGGAGUGCCCACCAUAUACACCACAUGAGAUGAGAGUUUUCAAGGAAGACUCGACAGACUGAAAGUCAACCCGUGAUGAAUAUUCAGAAGUUUAAUCUUUAAAUUUUGAACACAGGAGAUGUCUGAUGAUGAUAGGAUCCCGGAGUACGAUUAUUGCUACGAUGACCGGGGUUUGUGCGACGACUAUCCUCACCUGCAAAAUGAUAGGUUUUUCAUCGUGAAGCUGGACGAGACCUUUGAUGUUUGUACGGUACACAACGACAAGCAUUUCAUCGUAAUUAAUAUCACCACUUGUGCUUCUUUUGGUCAACAUUUAAUUCCUGGAUUUUUUUUUCAAUUCGAUUAGUACACCCCGUGCCAUGCAAGACCAUAUGUAUUGCAGAAGCUCGAUUUCAAAGACUUUGAGAAUACGGAGACGAGGAGGGCUCACUUAAGAACUAAACAUGGUUAUGUGUUUCUGGUUAAGCUGUUCAAUAUGUACAAUCACUCCCAUUUCGGUUGCUCUAAUUGGGAAGCUCUCUGCAACUCAUAUGGAUUUGACGAGGGUAUGCAAAUAACAUUUGAUGUUCGUCCCGAAGAUGAUGAUGAUAAUAUCGAUAUCUGGGUGGAUGUGGAUAUGCCUUCAGUUUUGCCUAAAUGUGAGUUUGUCAAACUAAUUUGUUAAAUGAAGUAAUUUAUUGUUAAUUUUAAAAUAUUUGGUGUUCAUCGGUACUAAACAUCUUUAUUUAUAAUUGUCAGCUUAUUUCGUAUCUUCCAAAAAUACUCGAGAGGCUGUAGACAGGACAUACUACAGCUAUGACUCCGAGCUUAAUUGUGAGGAGAAAGGUUAUCUUGUCUCAUUCAUAGAUGAUGUUGAGGCCUUUAAAACCAAUCAUUUUAUCCUCCCAAAUUUUACUCGAUACGUGCCACUAGUGCAUAAAUUGCAUGAUGGUAACUUCAUUGCCAAAAACUUGGUAAGAUUUUGUUAAGGAUGUAACUUUAUUGCAUACAUUAUUCUUAAGUAUAUAAAUUACAUUGCUAACUAUAAAUGUUAUUAUUACGUUUUUCAAUAGAGGCCCCCGAAGGAGGUUGUGCCUUACAUGCUGUUUACCGAAGGUUAUAUGCAUAUGAUUAACUUACGAUCAACUCCUUCAAAAGCUUACUAUAAUACAUACUCGAUUUCUUCAAAUGACGGAAGGCUCAAAAUCAAAGAAUGGAGCAAAGUGAUGAAAGCGCACACGCAACUAAUUGGAGACAACAUGAUUGUGUGCAAGCCACAAGUGUGAGAUAGGUUUAUCUCCAUUCUCCAUUAUGGAGAUGGACCGAUUUAUCUCUUUUAUGGUAUUUUACCUAGGAGAGAUGAGUAGGUCCUAGGUAUUAAGAAUAAUUAGUUAGUGUUGAUUAUGACAAUGAUGAUGAUGAGAAGUUGUUAUUAUGUGGUACAAUGUGUUAGAGUUGAUGAUGUAUUAUGAUGAUAAGUUGUUAAUGAUAUUAUGAUGAUGAUGAUGAUGAUGAUGAUAAUAAUGAUGAUGAUGAGUUAUUAUAUCAUUGGGUGAAAGAACCGCGGAUUAGUUUCAAGUGGAUGGAUCCAAAAUGACCAAGUCAUGCUAAUCCAUGAAUUGGUCACUUUGGAUCCAUCCACGGUUCUUUCACCCAAUGAUGUAAUAACUUACUACGAUGUGAAAACAACCUCUAAAUUGCUACUAUAUGAAAACUUGUAUAAUGGUGUAUGAAUACAACAUAAAACAGAAAAAAUAAAAUAAUAAAAGUAGUAGCGCGGAUAGAGAGGCGCGCUGCUACUAAUUACCAGUAGCGCGUUCUACCAGAAGCGCUACUGCUAAGUAGGUAUAUCAGUCGCGCGGGCGAACCGAUGCUACUCCUACCUUUUAGCUGUAGCGUCGUAGCAGUAACGCGGGCCUAAAACCGGCGCUACUACUAGGCUUUUCCCUAGUAGUGAUACCCUACUAUGCUACUGUCUGCCUUAACAAUGCUAUUAUGUUAUUCUGGUUAUAAAACUGGUUGGAGAACAUAAUUGCUUGCUAGUCGAUAUAUACCCUACUAAGCAAGAGGUAGUGAGAGAGAUGAGGCCAAGAUAUUGAGAGAGAUGUGAGUGAGGGGGAGAGGACCGCUGGGAUCUAGAUGGGCCUAGCCCAUUAGGACAAAUAGGCCAGGCCAGCCAAUCAGCCUUUUUUAUCUAAAUAAAAACCAUAACAACCGAAAAUGAAAUAAAAAAAUACUUAGAAGUUUAUAAUAAAUCAUUAGAAAAUUAGUGAAAAUUUGAAAAUAAUAUACAUUACUUAAUAUAAAUAAUUCAUGUAUUUUUUGGACAAAGUAAAUGGGACACAUGAAUAGGACAUAUUUAAAUAUAUUAUAUUAGUAAACAUGCCCGUGCGUUGCAACGGGUGAGAAAAAAAUUAUUUCUCAUACACACUCUCGAGACAUCCGUAAAUCUCUUGAAAUCAGGAACGAUGCCACAUGAAAAAGAACAUGAUAAGUGAUGUUGCACAAAAACAUAAAGAUGUGAUGAUUUUUUAAGUGUAUUCAAGAUGUUUCCAAUUUAGACAAUAUAAAUAUUUGUCUAGUUGCAGGUAUCUCUUUAUGGAUUUGUUGUCGUUCCUCCUUGGCGGUUCCCAACAAAUAUUUGCAUUACCAUGAAAAUAACAAACUACAUUUUAUUAAUUAAUGAUAGCAUUUGCAUAAGAGCAUUAUUUUUGCCCCCUUGAUAUAUGUGUUUUUUUGUAAUCCAAGUCAAGUCUUAAUUUGGUUGCAAGCAUAUUAGACAACUCCAUCGAAAACAAUCAAUUUGCAAGGACAUGCAUACCAAAUGUUCUACAUCACCCUUGCUCUCCGGGGAAAUAAUUUCUUCUAUUGUUCUACAUCACCCUUGCUCUUCGGGGAAAUCCAACAACUACAUCGUGAGUAGUAGAAGAAUUCCCGGUGCUGUUGUUGGGGAGUCAUUAUCUACCAAAUAGGAAAACUGCACACAAACCUGCUAUUUGCCUCUCUUUGUUAUAGAAAUUAAUAUAGUCAUAGAAAUUUUCAUGUUACUCAAUUACCUCUCUUUGUGUUAGAAUCAUUAAUGUUCCAUUCUUCUUCCAUGCAUAUGCUAGAUAUUGUUUGCCUGGAUAAUUUUUUUACUUAUAAAAUAUCUAUGUAUAGGAAGUGGGUUAGACUUAAAUGUGCUUUUUACAUGCUAUAUGAUGCUCUCUUUAUGUUUAAACUCAUGUCCUUUAUAUGGGCAUCAUCAAUAGAAUUUUAAGCAUAUCUCAAUGUCUAUAGAGAAAGAGCUUGUUGGGAGACAAACUAAUAGUUAUCAUUCAUGUUAUUUUGUGUCAACAUGAUUAUUACUACAUGUUGUUUACCGAAGGUUAUAUUCAUAUGAUUAACUUACGAUCAACUCCUUCAAAAGCUUACUAUACUACAUACUCGAUUUCUUCAAAUGAUGGAAGGCUCAAAAUCAAAGAAUGGAACAAAGUGAUGAAUGCGCUCACGCAACUAAUUGGAGACAACAUGAUUGUGCGCAAGCCACAAGUUGGAGAUAGGUUUAUCUCCAUUCUCCAUUAUGGAGAUGGACCGAUUUAUCUCUUUUAUGGUAUUUUACCUAGGAGAGAUGAGUAGGUCCUAGGUAUUAAGAACAAUUAGUUAGUGUUGAUUAUGACAAUGAUGAUGAUGAGAAGUUGUCAUUAUGUGGUACAAUGUGUUGGAGUUGAUGAUGUAUUAUGAUGAUAAGUUUUUAACGAUAUUAUGAUGAUUAUUAUUAUUAUGAUGAUGAUAAUGAUAAUGAUAAUGAUGAUGAUGAGUUAUUAUAUCAUGGGGUGAAAGAACCGCGGAUUAGUUUCAAGUGGAUGGAUCCAAAGUGACCAAGUCACGCUAAUCCAUGAAUUGGUCACUUUGGAUCCAUCCACGGUUCUUUCACCCAAUGAUGUAAUAACUCAUUAUUUUGUAAAUACAACCUCUAAAUUGCUACUAUAUGAAAACUUGUAUAAUGGUGUACGAAUACGACACAAAACAGAAAAAAAUAGAAUAAUAAAAGUAGUAGCGCGGAUAGAGAGGCGUGCUGCUACUAAUUACCAGUAGCGCGCUCUACCAGAAGCGCUACUGCUAAUUAGGUAUAUCAGUCGCGCGGGCGAACCCAUGCUACUGCUACCCUUUAGCUGCAACGUCGUAGCAGUAGCGUGGUACCCCACGCUACUGCUAUACCUAAAACCGGCGCUACUACUAGGCUUUUUCCUAGUAGUGAUACCCUACUAUGCUAUUGUCUGCCUUAACAAUGCUAUUAUGUUAUUUUGGUUAUAAAACUGGUUGGAGAACAUAGUUGCUUGCUAGUGGAUAUAUACCCUACUAAGCAGGAUGUAGUGAGAGAGAUGAGGCCAAGAUAUUGAGAGAGAUGUGAGUGAGGGGGAGAGGACCGCUGGGAUCUAGAUGGGCCUAGCCCAUUAGGACAAAUAGGCCAGGCCAGCCAAUCAGCCUUUUCAAUCUAAGUAAAAACCAUAACAACCGAAAAUGAAAUGAAAACAUACUUAGAAGUUUAUAAUAAAUCAUUAGAAAAUUAGUGAAAAAAUUAAAAUAAUAUACAUUACUUAAUCUAAAUAAUUCAUGUAUUUUUUUGGACAAAGUAAAUGGGACACAUGAAUAUUACAUAUUUAAAUAUAUUAUACUAGUAAACAUGCCCGUGCGUUGCAACGGGUGAGAAAAAAAUUACUUCUCAUACACACUCUCGAGACAUAUGUAAAUCUCUUGAAAUCAUGAACGAUGCCACAUGAAAAAAAACAUGAUAAGUGAUGUUGCACAAAAACACAAAGAUGUGAUGAUUUUUUAAGUGUAUUCAAGAUGUUUCCAAUUUAGACAAUAUAAAUAUCUAUCUAGUUGCAGGUAUAUCUUUACGGAUGUGUUGUCGUUCCUCCUUGGCGGUGCCCAACAAAUAUUUGCAUUACCAUGAAAAUAACAAACUACAUUUUAUUAAUUAAUGAUAGCAUUUGCAUAAGAGCAUUAUUUUUGCCUCCUUGAUAUAUGUGUUUUUUGUAGUCCAAGUCAAGUCUUAAUUUGGUUGCAAGCAUAUCAGAUAACUCCAUCGAAAACAAUCAAUUUGCAAGGACAUGCAUACCAAAUGUUCAAGGUUGCAUAUCAACAUUGAUAUUCUUAAAAAAAUAUAUUAUGAAAACAAAUUAAAACAAUAUGAAAAUUAAAGUCAAGCCAUUGGUUUAUGAAAGCUUGUAUCAGCAACAUUGUAUAUGUUUUUGUACAUCAGAAACAUUAUAUAUAUACACAUUUAAUUAUUUCCAAUUUCAUGGUCAACAUUUUUCAAAACAUAUUUAUUUUUCAUGUCUACUUUUUUAUACACAUUCUACUUUUUUGUAUACAUCAGGAACAUUUUUUAUAUAUACGUUUAACAUUGCCCAAAUACAUGAUAAUAUUUUUGAUAACUUAUAUUUUUUUAUGUUUACUUAUGUUCCAUACACAUUGUAUAUGUUUGUAUACAUUUAUCUUAUACAUCAGACUUUUUUAUGCACAUUUAACAUUUCUUAAGUGCAUGAUUAACAUUUAUUUAAGAAUGGAAAAUUAUAUUAUUAUUUUUCUAUAUGCACUGUACUUUUCUAUAUGCACGCACGCUAAAGCACCACGUUCAACUAAUAUCACAUGCACGCAGCUACUGUUCUUUCAUACCAGUCGUUCAACUUAUAUCACACGCAACUAUUUGCUCUGUGUAUAUCUGGUAUAGCAAGCUGCAUAUUACCGAUGAAAAAAAUGUUAAAGCUACAUAUAAACUAAUUCUCAAACAUUACAACCUUUAAUUUGUAAAAAAAAAAUCAAUUUCAUCUGUAAGGUAGACAAUCCGCAUCUAUCUGUUUUGCAUCAAAACAAACAUGUUUUUCAGUUUCGUAAAACUUUCCACUGGAAAAUUAGGAGUACCUGAAAUUAAGGGUACAUUCUUUUAAAACGGAGGCAAUUUUUUUGUCUCGACCAUUAAUUAAGCAAAAGAGAAUUGCCAAGUUACUUAAAAGAAAACCGGGCUAAAACCAUCGCAAACUGCCGAGCAGCACACACAUCAUACCCUACACACCACUCAACUAAGAGGGCCACAUCAAGAUACACUCUGACGGCAUCAUUAUCACGUCUCCCCAACGGCCGUCAUCCCCCCCCCCUCAUAGUCUCCGAGCAAGCGACUCUGACUUCGACUACGACGAACCUCGACCCAGAUCUCACCGUAAGGCUGUGUGGAAACAUAAGAAGACCCGUGCCAGACCCAUACACCCGCAUCGAAGGCAGCGCAACUCCGACUUUGAUGGAGAGCUAGCCCAGAAGGAAAAAUAUGCAUGGUUGGCCCUGCGGAAGACCACAGAACAGAACUCCUACUGUCUGUCAUCGUCACCAUCGGGGCCCGCCUCCCCAGCUUUGAGUUCACCACAGCAAAACAACCCAAGGUAAUACCACACACAUUGUUGUGCCUUCGACAUCGCUCGUCUCCACCAUCAUCGCCAGAGAGGCAUCGAUGCCUAGCUCCAAGGACGAAGUCCUCACGAGGGAAAAUGACUCCAAGGCACCGCCAUCAUCCGAUUCCACUGGAUUAGGGGUUUUCCCCGGAGAUGGAUCCAUGCAGGAGGGGUGCGGCAACACAAUAGCGAUGCCUCCAAGAAGGUCUAUGACGACCAUAGCGGCUGCCAUCACCGGUCAUAGGCCCAAGGCCGAGACAAAGUCUUCAUGCAAGCUCACAACACACCCAACCUACACCGGCUUUGAUAAGUCGACCAAGCACCACCACCACGAAGAAUCAGCUUGCCAACAUAGAAGCCCACCAACGCAGCAUACAACUACACCUUGCAGAGGUCGCUGGUGGUCACCAACCAGCAUCGCCUGCCAAGUCCGCGACCGUCGAUCGAAAGCGGGACAUCGAACGUAGCCCGAGCCUCCGGACCAUAUCGAGAACCAUGCCGGCAGGACCAGAGACAUGCCACCUGAGGCCAAGAACCACCUCGGUUCCUAGCUGUAGCCAUGCGCUAGACACGCCUUCAUGCACCACGCACAACACAACACACGCAUCGGAGGACGAAGACACCAGAUCUGGCAGACUCUACAAUCCUACAUGGUAACCUAUGUGGGGAACCGGGCUUAUUUCCAUGUUUUGCCCUAUCAAUGGUACCAACAAUAAUCUAACCAUUGGUAGACAGAGCUCUCUGACAACAUAUAUUUGUGAUUGUAAGGGGACAAAAAUGUGUGUACAAAUCAAUGUAAAGACACAAAUGCACAUGUCGAGCAUGACCAAUAUGUGGUUUGCGACCAAAACAUGACAAAUGACUAUUCAGAAGGGAAAAGUAAACAAGAAAGGACAUGCUCCCUCGAAGAAGGCUUGUGAUGCCUUGCACUAGUUGCAGUGCUCCUCCUUCUAGGGUUGUUAUUUCUUUGCAAAUAUUCCAGGCAGAAAUAGUAACCACUUAUAGAUCUCCCUGGAAUUCCACUUUUGCAAGAGAAACCAAAUCAAUCUGAUUCAGAUUAAGACACCAAGAGAUUGUUCCGGGCAGUGGCAAAUAAAAUGUUUGUUGAGUCACCUAGGAGACGCACCAUAUCAUUGUUGAUAUUAUAACAUUUUUGUUUUAACAUACAACUUUUGUUUAUAGGUCAGCUAAUAAGAGACAUUUGAUCUUUUGCUUCAUUACUAUCUUGAAUUUCUAAAAUACAAGGGUUCAAGCAAAUUUGGUAGGAUACUUAACUCUAACAAGGCUAGAAAUAAGACCUACUAACGCUAAUGCGCGAAGCAGAGAGCGAUAUCGUAGUGACAAAAGUGGCCUAAUCUCACUAACUAACGCGGCACCCUAGAAGCAAAAGAUCUUCCAUGGUGUGUUCAAUUCAUGCAGCUCUAGUUUGCAGCAAACCUUAAAAUAAAAUAUUAUUCCUUCUGUCAAAAUGUUCCAGGCAGCAUUAUUAAUGUAACACCCUCGAUGCGACUAUAGCUCCCACGUGUCGAGGCACGACUUAGAGACAUAAUCGCAUUGAAGGCAUAUGUCGCAAGUCAGGCAAUCUUCACAACAUCCCAUGUAAUAUAAAUAAUAAAAGGGGAGAUAACAUAGUUGGCUUACACUCGCCACGUCAAUCAAGUACAUAAAUAGCAUUACAACAUUCAACACUCAUGGCCCGUCUACGACACCAAAAUAAAAGACAACCCAACAUGCGACAUGGUCCCGAUCACCCCAACCGGGCACCACUAAUCAUCAGGAAAAGAAACAUAGUAUCGCUGAGAGUCCUCGUCGAACUCCCACUUGAGCUCGAGCGCGUCACCUGGAGCGGAAUCAUCAGGCCCUGCAUCUGGUGUAAUAGUAAUCUGUGAGCCACAGGGACUCAGCAAUCUCGCACCCUCGCGAUCAAGACUAUUUAAGCUUAAUAGGAAAGAUAAGGAUAAAAUAUAUGUGGAGCUGCAGCAAGCGACUAGCAUAUAUGGUGACUAUCCUGUUCGCAAAAGAGAGCGAGAAGAGGAGCCAAAGCGCGAGCGAGAAACUAGAAAGCAACCUGCGCAAGCAUUACUCCAACACCGUGUCCACUUCCCGGACUCCGCCGAGUAGAGGCCAUCACGGUAACUCACACUGUUGAUUAAUUAAGUUAAGGUUCAAGUUAUCUACAACCGGACAUUAACAAAUUCCCAUCUGCCCAUAACCGCGGGCACGGCUUUCGAAAGUUCAAAUCCCUGCAGGGGAGUCCCAACUUAGCCCAUGACAAGCUCUCACGGUCAACGAAGGAAUAUACCUCCUCCCGAGACGUUCCGAUUAGACUCGGUACCUCGGUUCUUCAAGACGCUUCGACAGGUUAAAACAAGACCAGCAACACCGCCCGAAUGUGCCGACAAAUCCCGAUAGGAGCUGCACAUAUCUCGUUCUCAGGGCACACUCAGAUGAGACAUCCUACGAGUAAAACCAACCCUCAAGUUGCCCCGAGGUGGCCCCGCAGUCUACUCGGUCGGACCAACACUCAGAGGAGCACUGGCCGGGGGGGGGGGGUUUAAAUAAGAUGACCCUCGGGCUCCGGAAACCCAAGGGAAAAGAGGCUAGGUGGCAAAUGGUAAAACCAAGGUUGGGCAUUGCUGGAAAAGCUUUAAUCAAGGCGAACUAUCAAGGGGUUCCCAUUAUAACCCAACCGCGUAAGGAACGCAAAAUCCGGGAACAUAACACCGAUAUGAUGGAAACUAGGGCGGCAAGAGUGGAACAAAAUACUAGGCGAGAGGCCGAGCCUUCCACCCUUUACCAAGUAUAUAGAUGCAUUAAGAUAACAUGGCAAUAUAAUGAUAUCCCAACAAGUAAAUAAUGUUCCAACAAGGAACGGUCUCCAAUCUUCACCUGCAACUAGCAACGCUAAAAGAGGGGCUGAGCAAAGCGGUAACAUAGCCAAUCAACGGUUUGCUAGGACAUGGUGGGUUAGAGGUUUGACAUGGAAAUUUGGGAGGCUUGAAAGCAAGUGGUAGGCAUCGUAGCAUUGGCAUAGCAAAAGAGCGAGCAUCUAGCAAAGCAAAGAUAGUAGUGAUUUCGAGGGUAUGAUCAUCUUGCCUGCAAAGUUGUCAGAGUUGCCUGGAUCCUCGAAAGCAAACUCAACGGGCUCCUCGUUAGCGAACUCGUCUCCCGGCUCUACCCAAACAAGACAAACAAGCAACAAGGACACAAUCAACCACGUGCAAAGCUCAAACAAUAUGAUGCAAAGAAGGUAUGCUAUGCGGGAUGCGAUGCGGGAUGCAUAUGCAAGAUUUAAAAAUGGAUUCAUGAACCUGGCCUCAACAUGGAAAACCAAGUAUGCCACUGGAAAUAUGAGAUGAAAUCGCUUGAAAACGAUAUAAAGAACGCCGGAAUCGGAGUUACUGUUUGGAAAUGGCAAGCGAAUCAAAUAUGACACCGGUCUGCGAUUUACAGCAAGUAGCCAUCUAAAUGCAAUGAGAUGAACAUGCUACAGGACUCAGACAUGACAACAAAAUACAUGACAGGGAUGCAUUCAAGAUGCUUACCAAAAGUCUAGCACUGAGCUACGGCCAAUUCAUCCAUUAACAGGUUCAAACAAGCAUGGCAAAAAUGCAUAUCGCAAACAGAUUUCAGACUUAGUGAAAUUAACAUUUGUCUGAAAUCUCAGAUCAGGUAGCACUCUUUGGAGCAACAAAACUACAUGCUACAUGACCUGAACAUGACAAAGUAAAACAUGGCAUGGAGCUACUCAAAAAGCUUAACAAAAGUCCCUUAGUGACCUUGAGCUAAAAGGGAUCAGAAAACAUAUUGGCAAGCAUGUGAACAUAGCAAAAGCAUAAUCAGUUUUCAGACUUAGUGAAAACUGGCACAUGCUGAAACAUAUCUCAAGUAGGCAUGUUUACGAGCUCGAUGCACUCACUACGGAGCAAGAUAUGAAAAGCUAAGCAUACAUCCAUCAAGAAUACACAAAAUGCAAGCUAUACAUGGCAAGAACAAUAGAAUAGCAUGCACGGAUCAACUACAACAUCAUCGGCAAAAUUGCUAACAAGUAGACAAUCUGCCCGGAAUCACGAAGUAGCAAAAGUAGAGCUCGAUUGGCUCAAGCUAGGGUGCUCCAUAAUUGCAAACAAAGACAUGGAUGGAUAGAGCACUACAAGAUUAAUAAAACAUGCUUACUGAUCAUCCUCAAAAGAGGCACAGAUCACUAGGAAACAACAUGAACACAUGGCAACAUGAGAUAAACAGGUCAAGGACUUAGUGGAAAUGCUAAGUCCCUGAAAACAGAAUUACCAAGUGCCUCACUUUGCAAGCUUGUGCUAGUCACCACGCACAUCACAAAAAUACAUGGGUUAUACCUCUGGAAAGAUGGAAAAACCCUUAACAAAACAUAUGUAGAGCACCAGGGCAUAUCAUGCACACAAUAAUCAUGGCAGAAAUGACAAAUAUCUAAAUGGAGCAGCAGAUCUGACAAUUAUCUCAAGUAGCACUCUUCUAACAGCAUUUCGGGCAUCAAGAUGAACUCAAAUGAAAAUAAUGCAAUGAGAUGAAAUGAUGUGCUCUCUGAGGCGAACAUUUUGAUAUGCUAUAUGCCCAAAACGGAGUUACGGAUGCGGAGAUAUAGCAUGAUGAACAGGGCAACAUGAGCUGGGGUUUUAGGACAAAAAGUCAACCCUCGAGAUUUAGAUCUCAGAUCUGGCACAUUCUUCGAUGUUUGCCGGAGCUUCGCCGGAGACGUCGCCGUGGAGGAGGUCAGAGAGGAACUUGAGGGGAGGAGAGGCCGGCCGGUGAGGGAGCUUGCCGGGGCGGCGUGGUGCGGUGGAACGGCGAGGCGGAGGGGCGGCGGACGAGGUCGUCGGGCGGCGCGGAGGCUCGCCGGAGUGCGGCUUGCCGGCGAGAGGAGGGGCGCCGGGCGGAGGAAGGCGGCGGUCGGGCGCCGUGGAGGAGGAAGACGACGGCUCGCGGGGAGGGCGCCUCUGGCCCGAGCGAAUCGCGGGGAGGGCCGGCUUCGGGCCGGCGGGCCUUCGCGGCGGUGGCGGGGACGACCUGCCACGUGGCACGCGGGGACAGGCUGGGUGCGGCAGCGCGGACGUGUCCGGUCCGAUCCGGACGCGUCCGGCGGCGGGAGGAGGACGAACGCUAGGGUUAGGGUGGUUUGAUCCGGGAAUUUCAGGGGAGAUGCCUAUUUAUACAUAGAAGGAGCUAGGAGAGUCCAAAUGAGGUGCGGUUUUCAGCCACACGAUCGUGAUCGAACGCUCUAGAUGAUGGAGAGGGUUUUGGUGGGUUUUGGACCAAAUUGGAGGGGUGUUGGGCUGCAACACACACGAGGCCUUCUCGGUCCCUCGGUUAACCGUUGGAGCAUCAAACGAAGUCCAAAUGGUACGAAACUUGACAGGCGGUCUACGGUAGUAAACCAAGGCCGCAUGGCAAGUCUCGUUCCAAUCCGGAAAUGUUUAAUCCCCACACACGAAAGAAAGGUAGAAAUGACCACCGGAGGAGAACGAAGCGCCGGAAUGCAAAACGGACAACGGGGAAAAAGCUCGAAUGCAUGAGAUGAACACGUAUGCAAGUGCAAUGCACAUGAUGACAUGAUAUGAGAUGCAUGACAACGACAACAACACACGAAGACAAAAACCCGAACCCGAACUUAAAGCCGGAAACGGCAAGAGUUGGAGUACAAAUUGGGUAAGUUACAUCCGGGGUGUUACAAUUAAACACUAAUCAUACUAGUUCUCCACGGAAGCCCAGUUUAGCAAGAGAAACCAAAUCAAUCCGAUUCCAAUUUGGAGACUAAGAGAUCUUGAGGCGUUCCCAUCAAGUAAUGCUAAAGGGGCAGUGGAAAACAAAAUGUUACUUGAGUCACGGAAGCGACACGCUAAAACAUUGCUGAUAUUAUAAUUUCUCUGUUUCCACAUAAUAGAUCUGCAUGGAGUCCCACUUUAGCCACAGAAGCCGAACCAAUCCGAUUCCGNNNNNNNNNNNNNNNNNNNNNNNNNNNNNNNNNNNNNNNNNNNNNNNNNNNNNNNNNNNNNNNNNNNNNNNNNNNNNNNNNNNNNNNNNNNNNNNNNNNNNNNNNNNNNNNNNNNNNNNNNNNNNNNNNNNNNNNNNNNNNNNNNNNNNNNNNNNNNNNNNNNNNNNNNNNNNNNNNNNNNNNNNNNNNNNNNNNNNNNNNNNNNNNNNNNNNNNNNNNNNNNNNNNNNNNNNNNNNNNNNNNNNNNNNNNNNNNNNNNNNNNCAACAAUUUUAGUAGGAGCAAUGAGUAAUUACCAACGAGAUUCGAUCAAUAUACGUACUCGGCCCCCCUAUACUCCAAUCCUGGCUCCGCCACUGCACGCCAAACACAUGUGUAGUGCUAAAUUGAUAGUGGAAGCUAAACUGUUACUUGAGUCACACAGGAGACACGCCAAAAUCAUUGUGCCUUUGUUUUAACACGUCCACUAUCUUGGACUUUCAAAUCCAUUUGAAAGAUUCAAGCACAUUGGUUAGCAUACUCACAAACUACUGUAAAGGAUACAUUACUCAAAACGAAGUAAGAAAAGAGACCUGCUAGCGUUAAUAUAAUUAGAGAAGGGAAGAGGGACCUCAUACUACGACUCGGUUUUUAACAGUAAAGGCUUGUGCUUGCACUCUCUUUAGCUUUAGGAUAGGAGGAAUAAGAAAACCAAUUAUAGGUGCCGUGCAGAUAUCAAAUGUUAGGUUUCGUAUCUCGUAUCCAUCUCGUACAGAACUUAUUCUUCCUGUGGUAUGAGACGCUCCCAUGGUUUGCAAGGCAAAUGUGUGGUGAUUUUUUUAAUCAUGAAGCUCCACAAUGCACCAUCGUUAAUGUAUUGUCUGUGCAGAGUGUUGUAGUUGUGUGUAUCGUCUAUGUUCUACUUGAUGCUUUUAAAAAAGAAUUGAAAGAAUAAAUUGAAACUUUUUGAUAAAAAAAUUAUCAAUGAAAUUUGUGACAAGCCCUCCAAAUCAUGGUAUCGCUCGAAAGCCAACUCAAUUGCUCAUUUUCAGAUAUGUCAUACAUGAAAUGUUCAUAUUCGAUCUACGGACAUCAGCACAGAACCCUCAUGCUCACUGAAUCCAUGUUCAGCUACAGAAUACAAAAUAUAUGAAUUGUUCAUCAGCUAUAUAUGUAAUCUAUCAACAGCUCCUCUUUGAUAAAACCUUCAUCUAAAGCCUUGAGCUCAUCUUUGAUAGGACUGCAAGAUCUAUAUAUGCACUACUGCUCAUUGAAUCCAUCUUCAUCUAAAGAAUAUAGUAUGAAUUUGUUGGCUACCUAAUAAUUGAUUAACAGCGGCUUAUCUUUGGAUCCGCUCGAGAUCUAUUUCAUUUCAGAAUCAAACCUUCAAAAUUCGAAGUAAUCCACCAUCUCACGCCGGCAAAUUGGGCAGUUUGACUCUUGAUAGAACCACCCUUUGAUGCACGAGAUGUGGAAGACGUGGGUGUGGAAGCACGGCAGCCUCACGAUCUCCUCGUCACCAGUCUCCAACUCCAAAUGGCAAAUCGCGCAUUCCUGACCGGGUGCCGCCAGAGCUCCUGCAGCAGCGUCGGCCUCUUUGCAGGCGCGGAUUAGGGCCUGUGGAUGGCUGUAAACCAAACAUACCAGCAGUGACGGCACGUGGAUGUCGAUGUCAAAGCGCGAGACGUGGCCUUCAAGGUCAAGUCUAUCGAUCUUGCGGCCGAUCUCAUGGACGAAGUCCAUUUGCGGGUGAAGAUGGUCCCCCUAGUUCCCAGGGACGAGGUCGUAGUCGCCGGUCACUGACCCGUCGGCGAGCAUGCCGUGGAUGAGGGCACGGCAGGCCUGGUAGUUCCGGAAGACGGCAGGUUCCGCGACCUCGAUGUGGUGGUCGAACGGCGCCCGGUCGUCGAACGAGGCGUCGAUGCCCCACCCCACCGGCGAGUUGGCGUGGGCACCGAUCCUGCGCGUCCCGUGCGACACAACCACGUCGCCGUGGAUGCGCAGGGUGCUCGGGAGAUUGGUUGGAGAGAGGCGGCCGACGACGCGAUGGAGAACUCUACCGGAGCUGUAGACGUGCGUCUCCGUGACCUCCGCCGCGUGCGGCCACGGUGGCAACACCAUGGCGCCGCCGCCUGCUCUCUCUCUCUCUCUCUCUCUCUCUCUCUCUCAGCAGGAAACGAAUUGAGCUCUGCCCCAUGGCGGAUCGGACGCGACGCGAAUUCUUAUAGGCUGUAAACCAAUGGAAACAGAAAGACGAGCUUCAAGACUUUCCCUUUUGCUAGCCUGUAAUUAAUGUCGCUGAAGACUGGAUACAGUGUAGAGACAAACCAAAAAUGGUAUGCUUUAAUUUGCUGCCCGAGGGCGUCAUAAACUGAUGUGCAGUCCAUCGUUAGCGUGAGGCGAGGACAGACUGACAGACCAAGGACACCUUCAGUCUCCGCUUCUUCAGCAUAUCUUCACAAGUGUGUGUUCAGCCUAGUGCACGCUGAGAUAAACACCUCCCCUUGCUGUCAGCGCUCCCGAGACAUCCACACUGAUUUUUAAGCAACCAGGUGGGCGUUUGGUCGAGCUCAGUUGGGCCAUAGCCAGAACUUCACCUCAUCGCACUCUUUCCGCGAAUACACAAAUUUGCGUAUAUUCAAUGAUAGAAGUAAUUAGAAUGAGUGCGAAAAAGGUACAACACAUGGCACGACUCUAAGAAGAGGUGAACAUGGUGCCCGAAGUUAAACCUCGACAUGAGCCGAGCCGAGCUAGCAGAACUAGGGCCGAGCCAGGCAUUAGCUCGCCUCUCACGAGCCAAGCCAAGUGGAGCAAACUGCUCAGGCCAGCCUCGUUCCCAGGCUCGGCCCGAGCUUUGCACUACUAGGAAAAAGCCUAGCAGUAGUGCGGGUAAAAUGCUUAUCAGUAGCGCGGGCAGUAGUGCGGGUAAAAUGCUUAUCAGUAGCGCGGGCAGCUGCACUACUGAUACGGCGCUACAGCUAACGCUUAGCAGUAGCGCGUGCUGACCCGCGCUACUGCUAUCUAGGGAUAGCAGCAGCGGUCGUCGUAAAAACGCGCUGCUACUAAUAUUUAUAGCGCCCUAAUAUAAAAGGCGCUACCGCUAAGACCUGGCUGCUACUAAAGCCAUACCCCGUGCUACUGUUAUUAGUUUCUGCAAAAAAAAUCUGCUCCAUAUUUUGUGUUGCUGAAUUUUAUUUAGUGUUUUAUACAAUAGUCUCUAGCAUAUCAUACACAUACAAAUCUGAUCAUAUCAUACACAUACAAAUAGCCUCAUCAAAGCGAUCAUCUCAUCACCAUAAUCAUCAUCCAACACAAAAUGACGUCUCUCUCGAAAUAGCGAUACAAGUUAUGAGAUGCCUCAAAUACUUGCAACUACAUCGUCAUCCAUCUAAACAAUGAUAUAGACAAGAAGAGCUAUCACUAUGAGUGAGAGCGGAACUAUGCAGUACAUGAGGCGGCGGUUAUGAGUCCUCUGUCGCGUUAGCGUGAACCUCAAGUAACUAUCUUCUGCUUCAUGUAUGCUUUUGAACCAUUUAUGGCUGGCGCCCGAGAACCUCUCGGAUCAUUUACCCUGCACAUAAUCAUCAUUUUCCGAAUAUAACAUGUCCAAAACAUCACAUGUACAAAUAUGACAUGUCCAAAUUUCAAAUGUGACAUGUCCAAAUCACAUGUCCACAUAUCACAUGUCCACUUCAAAUUUGCAUAUAGCAAGAAGAAAACUAUAGAACUUGAAGAAAAAUGCAAGAAGUUUUUAAAAAUAGCAACACUUGCAUUAACUAAAAAAUAAUAAAUACCAACAAUUGCUUUAAUUAAAAAUAGCAAUAGUUUGAAACCUAGGGUUCAUACUAAGUACCACUAAAAAAUAGCCAAUAAUCUGUCCUAGGUUUUUUUAACUAGGGUUCAUACUAAUUGUAAUUAACUAACUAGCACUAAAAAUAGCCUAGGGUUCAUACUAACUAGCACUAAAUAGCUAGGGUUCAUACUAACACAGAGAGAGAGAGAGAGUGAGAGAGAGAGAGAGAGCAGAGAGCAGAGAAGAGGGGAGGGGAGAGUGCUUACAGAGGGCGGAGAGAGAAAUGGGGUCGGGGGAGACGGCGACCCUGAGGCGCGGCGAGGAGGAGUCAGGGAAGACGGCGGCGAGGCGGGGUCGGGGGAGAUGGCGGCGAGGCAGGGUCAAGGGAGACGGCGGCGAGGCGGGGUCGAGGGAGACGGCGGCGGAGAGGGAGGGCAGGGACUCCGGUGUGGGAAUUAUAGUAGUAGUGUGUUUUAUUCCUGCCGCGCUACUGCUAAGUGGAUAGAAGUAGCGCCCUUUCUGACCACGCGCUACUGCUAAGUAGCAGUAGCGCCUCAUUUUAACACGCGCUACUGGUAAGAUUCGGUAUAUAAGGUUUUUACUAGUAGUGUUGUGCUGGCUCGACCCAGCUCGGCCGGCUCAUGUGCAUGGACAGUGCAUUGCACAUCAGGUACAGAUAACUAAUGCUAAGUCCUAAAAGCAACUUUGUUCACUGAGAGAUGAAAAAAAUGCAGCAAAUGACUUGAUCAAUGGCUCACUGAAACUUUGACAUCAUCAACACUGAAAUUUGAGACAUCAAAUGCACCCAAGUUUGGUCAGCAAAACACUAAAAUACUUAAGAUGAACCUAAACGAUUCAUGAGUUUAGCAAAAUAAGAUGACAUACAUAUGUAACAUCCAUAGUUAAAAGUUCAAUAACAAAAUAAACAUAAAGUACCCAUAGUCCAAAGUUGAGAAGUUGACAUAUAUCACAUCCAAAUUUCAAUGGCAACAUAAACAAUGCAAGAGUUAUCCAUCAUUUAAUGGUGACGACCAACAUAGAUCCAUUGCUUGAUUUACUUCCAUCUGGAAAGUUGACAAUGGCAUCUUGAUAGUCUCCCCCUCCAAUGUAGCCUACAAGGAACAAUAGCUAUAUAGUAAAUGAAAAAGCCUACAAGUAACAAUAGUUGUAGUGAACUAAAAAAAUCCUAGAAGUAAUAUACUUACUAGUAGUUGCAAUCUGCCACACUUUUAGGCAAUUUGACCUUCCCCACAUCCUCAUCGUCCUUGUCUUCUUCCACAUCCUUGUUUUGUGUAGGUUAUCCAUGAAAUUUUUUAUUUAUGAAAAUAACAUGAUGAAUAUUGAAAUCAUAUGACAUUGACAUAGAUUGAAAUAUACCAACACAUUUAAGUCUUUGUGGGCACCCUUGAUAUAACUUCCACCAUAGACCAAUGCCUUCACUAGGUAAGGUUUUAGAGAGCUCCUAUAAUCAUAUAGAAUUCUUCCACUCGUGCAAAAAGUGGAUUCCGAAGACACCGAGCUAGCUAGGAUAGUUAAGAACCAUCUCGCCAUAUUUGUCACCACUCUCGCAGGUUGAAGUUGGCACCCAUAACCUCAUUUGCAUCAUCCAUAUAGUUUCUCAACUCAUUUUUACACCAUUUUGUAAAAGUGGAUGAGAAGUACGAGAGAAACUCAUAAUCUGCGGGUGGCAUUGAGGUACUUGUAAUGCAACUAAGGAUACUUCCAUUGAGGUUCAACUUUGCCUCUUUUGGGAAUCAAAUUUCUAAUACAACUUGUCCAAAUCUUUCUUGAAAUCAGACAACUCAGUUUCAGCCUUAUCCCCAUCAUAGAUCUGCCUAAAGCACCACUCCACAUACUUCAUCUUGUACCUUGGAUCCAGGAAGGUGGCAAGAACCAUGACAGUGUUUGGUUGUUCACAAUAUUUGUUAAACUUGUCCAUCGUAUCAUGUCCCAUAACAUUGUAAUUUUUUUGCGGGUGAUAACAUUGUAAGUUUUUGUCCUUAUGAACCAUGGCUUUUCUCAAAGUAAUUUUGAUACUGACAUUGUGGGGAUAAAAUAUGUUGGUGGUGGGAUAUGAUUGACCUGAAAAGUCCAUAGUCACUCUAGCAAAAGCAAACAACAAUGGCUCAAUAAGCUAAAACACCCCCAUUCUUUGUUUGUAGGCUUCCACUUGUAGUUGUCAUCUGAAUUAGCAUAAGAAACCAAUGCUUGCCUAUAUGGUCACCAAUUUUCAGCAUCUUGUAAGUCAAACUCCACCUUGUGCAAACAACUAGGGGUCAAAUGCCAUCCAAUUUCAAGGCCUAAACUUCUAUAAAUCUCAACAAAUUUGUGCAACCGGGCAGGGGAUUUCUCGAAGUACUUCAUUGUAUCCCUUUGAUUCAUUACAAAGGUUUUCAUGCAUAUUGUCCCAUCCUGCACUAAAUUUGACAAUGUGAGCACAACACUGGACAUGAAAAUAUUUGGCUUCAAAGUCUGUCCCUCUUCAAAUAGAAAAAUAUUGCCUUCAAAUCUUCAACAACCCAGUCAUUGUUUGAUAUAUUGUCUAGUGUGAUGUACACUAUAUUGUUUUGUAUCUUCCAUUCAGUCACACAAACAUACAACACAACAACAAUGAUGUUUCUGCUUUAGGGGGAUAUAACUGCAUGAUGGUGAACACAUGAGUCUGUAUUCUCCAGUGUUUAUCUAUAUAGUGUUCCACUACACACUACACACAUAUAAGAUAUGGUUUGGUUACUUGUCCACAUAUCCCUAGUGAUACUAAUAUGGUUCACAUUCUUCAAGGUUGCCUUAAGGAAUUCCCUCUCUUUCUUGAAAACGUCAAGCACUGAACUCUUAUUGCCUUCUUUCAAAGAACUCAACUCUUAUUGCCUUCUUCCCAAUGGCUUAAUAUAGUGGGUUUGAGUACUUCAUCACAAUAUUGAACCACUCAUGUCCCACUAUCCUGAAUGAGUAGUUAUGGACGACCACCAUUUUUGCAACCAACUCCUUCUUAGUGAUCUGGUGGCUACUACUGCUUAUAGUCUACUACUAAGUGCUAACUAGCAGCUCUUGUACACUUAGAAAUAAAAAUAUGCAGCAAGUGACUUGAUCAAUGCCAAUAAUAUUCAGACAUAUGAAUACAUCCAAGGUUCAAUGAAUAUGGACUCAACAGAUACUCACUUUUCGACAACAUAUAUGCUCAAAUGCAUCAAUUGCUAGACCAAACAAAGACAAGGGUAAAAAAUAUAGGAAAUUUCCUAUUUCUUUUAUUGUUCUCUUCCUUAUCUCUAUGCAUCAUAUAGCAAGAUCAAAAGCUUUAUUUUAGAAAUUGCUUCACUUGCUAGAUCAAACAAUUACAUUCGCUCACUACUUACCGACGACUCAGCUUAAGCCAGAGAAGUAGGUGUGGCAGAAGUGUUUGCAGUGCCGGGAGUCUAGUCAAAUGCAAAAUCAGUUGUCGCGUCCGUCGGCGCCUUGGUGUCAGCUAGACACCAAGGGGGAGCCGGGUGUGUCUGCGCUCGCACGUGCUGCUUUGCCUUCCCAUGCGGGAUGAUACAUCUCAAAUAUAUCUAUACUUUUUUAUUGUUAAAUUCUGUUAUUAUCAUUCUCACAUAUUUUGGCCAUCAUUUUAUAUUAUUUUUCUUGACUAAUUAACAUAUUAAUCCAGUGCCCAUUGUGAAUGGAUGUUUUCUGCUUGUUUAUGCUUUUACAGAAAAUCGAUACCUACAAAAUUCCAAACACGAUGAAACUUUUUGACAAUUUUUUCUGGAAUAAGAGACCCUUUAGGCUUCAGGGAAGGAUGAGAAUACCCAUGAGGAGGCCACAAUACUAGGGGCACACUAGGGCGUAGGGCACGCCACCCUUGCUUGUGGGCCCCUCAUGGCUCCAUUUGCCCCAAUUCCUGGCCUAUAAAUUCACAUAUAUUCCAAAACCCGUGGAGUGAGACCCUAAAUAAUUCUAUUGCCACCGCAAGCCUCUGUUCUGAAGUGAUCCCAUCUGGAACUAUGUUUUGGCACUCUGUCGGAGGGGGAAUAAUUGGGGAGGACAUCUUCAUCAACCUUGAUGCCUCCAUGAUGAUGUGUGAGUAGUUCUUUCAGGACCUACGGGUCCAUAGUAGUAUCUAGAUGGCGCUCUCUCUCUCUCUCUCUCUCUCUCUCUCUCUCUUCAAUACAAUGAUCUCUUCGGAGAUCCAUCCAUUUAAUUCGUGUGGCAUGUUUGUUGGGAUCCAAUAAAUUGUGCAUUUAUUAUCAGAUUGUUCAUUGAAUUUAUAUGAAUCUCUUGAUUUUUCUUUGAUGUGUAAUUUUAUAGCUAUGUAUGCUUUUCUAUCGAUGAGUCUUCUCUGGCAAGAUAGACGAGUAGUUCUUCAAAGGGAGUGGUGCAUAGUAGUGGGUUCAAUCUUGCGGUGAUCUUUUCCAGUGACAGAAUGGAUAAAGACACGUAUUGUUUUCUUGUCACUAAGGAUAAAACGAUGGGGUCAAUCUUAUUGUUAGGUUUUCUUCUAUCUACUUUAUGUCACCUUGCUUAUUUUGUUACUUUGUUUCUAGUGAACUUAAUAAUUUGAGAUGCAAACUGGAGAGCAUUCUUGGGGUGGAGUAAUAGUAGUAGAUGCGGUUCGAUUAACUGUCUACUUAUCAGGAUGUAAUGCCUAUGUGAUAUUAUGCCAUGAAUGAUCAUAGUUAUAAUCUACGCUAUUCUCUCAAUUGCCCAGCAAUAAUUUUCUACCAUGCCAUUGCAUGCCUCUAGUGAACCUAUGGCCCCCGGGUCUAUUUUCCAUCAAUACAAAAACUCUUACAAUUGCACUUUUACUUUGCUUUACUAUCUGACCGCUUUGCCCUAUCACUAUUUGUUUUUAAUCUUGUGGCUAGCAAGCACAAGGGGAUUGACAACCCCCUUGCCUAAUUUGUUGGGUGCAAGCAAAUUAUUUGUUUGUAUGCAGGUACUGCCAAAGUUGUUAGCUUGGUGACUCCUACUGGCUCGAUAAACCUUGGUUCUUAACUGAGGGAAAUAAUUUCUUCUGUUGUUCUACAUCACCCUUGCUCUUCGGGGAAAUCCAACAACUACAUCAUGAGUAGUAGAAGAAUUCCUGGUGCUGUUGUUGGGGAGUCAUUAUCUACCAAAUAGGGUAACUACACACAAACCUGCUAUUUGCCUCUCUUUGUUAUAGAAAUUAAUAUAGUCAUAGAAAUUUUCAUGUUACUCAAUUACCUCUCUUUGUGUUAGAAUCAUUAAUGUUCCAUUCUUCUUACAUGCAUAUGCUAGAUAUUGUCUGCCUGGAUAAUUUGUUUACUUAUAAAAUGCUUAUGUAUAGGAAGUGGGUUAGACUUAAAUGUGCUUUUUACAUGCUAUAUGAUGCUAUCUUUAUGUUUAAACUUAUGUCCUUUAUAUGGGCAUCAUCAAUAGAAUUUUAAGCAUAUCUUAAUGUCUAUAGAGAAAGAGCUUGUUGGGAGACAAACUAAUAGUUAUCAUUCAUGUUCUUUUGUGUCAUCAUGAUUAUUACUAUUGUAGUAAUUAUGUUGUAUCUUUUAUUUUCAUUUUUGUGCAAAGUAAGAUAUUUAGGGUGAUGUCAAUGCUUGUUUAUUUGGUUCUGUACAGAAAUAAAAACUUCUGUGUCCAGUAUCUGAAUUUUUUUCUCUACUGGAACGUGAUAAAAUAUUGAACUUUUUACAUAGUACUGAGUUAUAAAUUGUCAGUGUUGUCCUAAUUGUUUUGAAUAUUUUGAGUUGCAGAAGUACUAUCUUAAAUUACAUCUUUAAGGUGUUGUUCUAUUUCUGAUAGAUUAUAUUUUGAUUUCAUAGUUUGCUUGUUUUUUAGUUUCCAUGCCUUAUAUUGGGGAAUAUAAAUUGUGGAAAUGAUAGAAUAUAGUAGACAUUAUGUGGGAAUGAUUACAAAUCUUGCUUGACAGUACACAAUUGAAUGAUUUAUUUUUAUACUAACUCCUCUCACAAGUUCCGUUAAGUUUUUUGUGAAUGAAGUUUUCAAGUUUUGGGUGAGAUGAUGAUGGAAGAAGAAUAAAGGAUUGGAAAGACUGUAAGAUUGGGGAUGCCCAAGGCACCCGAAGGUAAUAUAUAAGGAAUACUCAAUAAUCUAAGUUUGGGGAUGCCCUCGUAAUAUAUAAGGAAUACUCAAGAAUCUAAGUUUGGGGAUGCCCCAGGUGGCAUCCCCUCUUUUGUCUUCAAUCUAUCGGUAAUCCCAGUUGGAGCUAUAUUUUUAUUCUUCACAUGAUAUGUGUUUUUCUUGGAGCGUAUUUUUUGUUUGGAUUGUUUCCUUAUUUGUAUAAUCAUUGUUUCCUGACCAUGCCUAUUAAGAGAGACAUACAUUCAUCUUAUAUUUAUAAAAUGCUAAUUUAUUCUUGACUUAUAUCUUUUUGAGUUGAGGCAAUUUCUCUUGCACUUCACCUAUAUUUGUUUGAGCAUGGUGAUAUCUUUUUGAGUUGAGGCAAUUGCUCUUGUACUUCCACUUGUAGUUGGCAUCCGAAUUAGCAUAAGAAACCAAGGCUUGCCUAUAUGGUCGGCCAGGUUUUAGCAUCUUGUACGUAGAACUCCACUUUCUGCACACAUCUAGGGUCAAGUUCUAUCAAAUUUCAAGGCCUAAACUUCUGUAAAUAUCAACAAAUUUGUGCAGUCGGGCAGGAGACUUAUUGAAGUUCUUCAUUUUCUCUUACAUUCGUUACCAAAGUGAUCAUGCAUGUUUUUCAUCCUGCACUACCAAGUUGACAAUGUGAGCACGACACAAGGCAUGAAAAAAAUUGGCUUCAAAGUAUGUCCCUCUUCGAACAAAAAACAUUGCCUUCAAAUCUUCAGCAACCCCAUCAUUGUUUGAUGCAUUGUCUAGUGUGAUGGACACUAUCUUGUUUUGUAUCUUCCAUUCAGUCAAACAGUCAAAUAAUGCAACAACAGUGACAUUUCCGCUGUGAGGGGGAUAUAACUCCAUGAAGGUGAGCACAUGAGUCUGCAUUCUCCAAUUUAUCUAUAUAGUGUUCCACUACAAACAUAUAAGAUAUGGUUUGGUUACUUAUCCACAUAUCAGUAGUCAGACUAAUGUGGUCCACAUUCUUCAAGGUUGCCUUAAGGAUUUCCUUCUCUUUUUUGAAAACCCUUAAGCACACAAUACACAACUCUUAUUGCCUUCCUGCUAAUGGCUUGAUAUAGUGGGUUCGAGUACUGCAUCACAAUAUUGAACCACUAAUGUUUCACCAUUCCAAAUGAGUAGUUAUGGAGAAACCACCAUUUUUGCAACCAACUCCUUCAUAGUGAUCUCGCUACUACUACUUAUAGUCUACUACUAAGUGCUAGCUAGCGGCUCUUGUACACUGAGACAUGAAAAAUUACACAACAAGUGACUUGAGAAAUUGCAAUAAUAUUUAGACAUAUGCAUACGUCCAAAGUUCAAUGAAUAUGCACUCAAUAAAUAGGGGCAUAACAUGGGCAUACAGACUUGUAUACUCACUUUUUGAUAGCAUACACACUCAAGUGCAUCAAUUGGUAGACCAAACAAAGCAAGAUCAGAAGCUUUAUUACAGAAACUAUAUCACUUUCUAUAUAAGACAAUUACAUUGGCUCACUGCUUACCAACGACUCAGCUUAAGCCAGAGAAGUAGGUGUGGUGGACGUGUUGGUGGGGUCGGGUGUCCAGUCGGGUGCAAUAGCAGCUACCGCGCGUGUGACGCCCCUGAUUCAAUCGUACACUAAUCAUACACACAAACGUGUACGAUCAAGAUCAGGGACUCACGGGAAGAUAUCACAACACAACUCUAAACACAAAAUAAGUCAUACAAGCUUCCGAUUACAAGACAGGGGCAUCGAGGGCUCGAAUACAAAUGCUCGAACAUAAACGAGUCAGCGGAAACAACAAUAUCUGAGUACAGACAUUAAGUUAAACAAGGUGCGAUAAGAUGGCUAGCACAAACAUGGAUACAGAUCGAAGAAGCGUAGGCCUCCUGCCUGGGAUGCUCUUAAACUACUCCCGGACGUCAGCAGCCUGGACGUAGUAGUACGCACCCUCGAUGUAGUAAGGGUCAUCAUCAACUAUGGCGUCUGGCUCCUGGGCUCCAACAUCUGAUCGCAGCAACCGAGUAUAGGGGAAAAGGGGAAGCAAAGAAACCGUGAGUACUCAACCAAAGUACUCGCAAGACUAACAUCAGAUCUAUACUACAUAGGCAUCGGUAUCAAUGAAAGGGGUAGUAUCUGUGGACUAGACUGCAGAAUGUCGGAAUAAGAGGGGGAGAAGCUAGUCUUAUCGAAGACUAUGCUUCUGGCAUCCUCCAACUUAAAGCAUGUAGAAGAGAGUAGCUGGUAAGUUAACCAAGUAACAAUGUAUAGCAUAAACCUACCCAGCGAUCACCGGGUUAUCUCUGGAACUUAUCUGGUGUGUUUUUUAGGUAUCUAGUUGUAGUUAUCAUGAGUUCGAAUACAACUCCAAGUGUCCCGUUACCGUGGACAUGGCUAUUUGAAUAGAUCAACUUCCCUACAAGGGUGCACCACAUUGCCCAACACGCUCGAUCCCUCUGGCCUGACACACUUUCCUGGGUGAUACCCGGCCUCGAGAGAUCAAUGUUGGGGAACGUAGCAUGCAAUUUCAAAAAAAUUCCUACGAUCACACAAGAUCUAUCUAGGAUAUGCAUAGCAACGAGAGGGGGGAGUCUGUCCACGUACCCUCAUAGACCGAAAGCGGAAGAGUUAUCUUAACGUGGUUGAUGUAGUCGAACAUCUUUGCAAUCCAACCGAUCAAGCACCGAACACACGGCACCUCUGAGUUCUGCACAUGUUCAGCUCAAUGACGUCCCUCGAACUCUUGAUCCAGCAAAGUGUCGAGGGAGAGUUUCUUCAAUAUGACCGGAGGAGUAAACUGUGGAAGGGGCACCGCACACGGCUAAGAAACAAUUGAUGUCCUUUGGGGUGCCCCCUGCCCCCGUAUAUAAAGGAGGAGAGGGGAGGAGGCCGGCCCUAGGGGACAUGCCAAGUGGGGGGGGGGGAACCCACUAGGACGCCUAGUCCUACACUAGUAGAAAAGGAAAAUUUGUCCCGGUUCAUAAGGAACAUUUGUCCCGGUUCGGCAACCAGGACUAAAAGGUCGGUAUUAAAGCCCAAUACCUUUAGUCCCUGUUCUUACACCAACCGGGACAGAUGGGCCUCCACGUGGCCGCUGCGGCUUGCCCAGACAGGGGGGCCUUUUGUCCCGGUUGGUAGCGCCAACCGGGACCAAUAAGCUUCCAUGCGUCAGGAGUUCAGGGGCUGGGGUUUUUUUUCUAAAAGGGAGGGGGGGUUGUAGGGUUAAUUUAGGGGUUUCAUAUAUUGUGUUAGCUAGCUAAUAGAGAGAAGUGUCCUCUCUUAUCUCCGUGCUUGGUCGACGCUACAUACUAUACGUAUAGAGAGGACUCGACACACUAGCUAGUAAGCAAAUGAAGGAAACAAUUAAGUACAAAAGAUCGCCAUGAACAUAUACAAAGAGAAUUGAUCGACCUCUCCUUCUCCGAGAGAUUGGUCGAACAACAAGUUUUCGUAUAUGUAUCCGAUGCUACUGGCUAUAUAUAUAAUGUAAGAUCUCUUACAAUCUCCUAGCAUCUGAACUCAAGUUCCACAUGGUAUUCUCCGGCUUUCUUGAUGACGUGGUCAAGAAAGAAUCCCGCCAAUUCCUCUUGAAUUGCUUUCAUGCGAUCUUGUUGUAGGAGUUCAUCCCGCAUCCGCCACAUCUAAUUUGAAGAAGGGGGUCAAUACAUAUACAUGAAUGAAACUCAACACAAAUGAUGGUAAUAAAAUGAAAUUGUGAAUAUUAUUGCUUACGCACAUCAAAUUGUCUUUUAGACUAGCCCCGGUUUUUUUGCAAGUCGCAUUGUAGAUGAACUCGUAAACGUAGUAUCCACGGUAAUCAUUCCCGGGUUCCUGCCACAAGCACUUUACGAGAAAUAGAGGUCAAUCAAACUGAUAAUGAAGCAUUAUAAAUGGUAUUGAUGAAAGUAGCUAGAAUCAACGGGAUCGAGAUGCGCGGAACUAGCUAGCUAGUACUAGUUACUUUCGGGUAUGUACAUCGGAGCUCCCCCGGCAGUUCCGGAGCUUGUGCGGUGAAUACUUUCCAAACCCUGCGAGACAAAGAAAACACUUACUUGAUAUCAGGAAAUGAACAAAGUUUCCGAUAUGGUGCGAUAAUGAUCGAUUGAACUUACUUCUCGAGAAUUUUAGUCAUGUCUGCAUACUCCUCGGAAGAUUUUCGUCUCGAGUCUAAGGCGGUUACUAGUCCCCGCUCAAGCUUAAUCUCAAGGAGAAUAUAGUGGAAGCUGCGCACGUAUGCAUAACUCAUCAAUUACAUUAAUAUAACCUCAAGUAAUAAGGGAAACCGAAUAUGCACAAGACAGUAAUACUCACUUGAAGUUGUAAGGAAAGAGUAUUUUAUCAUUGUUUUGAUUUUGAAGCAAAGAUCGUAGCAAGUUGGCCUCGGUGUCUUUGGCCUGAAAGGUAACCAUAUAUUCAUCUAUGAGAUUUGUGUUAAUGAACCCAGUAUCAUAGAUUUUUGCUUUUGUGCAUUCGACGAUCUUCAAUCUGCACAAUAUAGUGAGGAACAUUAUAUAUACAUGCAAUGAAAGAGCUGAGCUAUAUAUAGAGACUUAAUGACAAAAGUAGUACUUAUAGAUACUAGCAAGUGACCGUUAAUUUAUCGAGGGCCUUUUGAUUGAACCACUGGAAGAACUCCUCAAAUGGAACAGACAACAGUUCAAUUCCAACGAGGUCAUGCUCCUCUUUAACUCUCAGCGUCAAAGUUUCCUUCUCCCCAGACUCUCUGUAGGUUUUCAUGUACCAAUCAUGGAAUCUUCGCAUCAUCAUUGUCAGAGGAGGACUUCCAUCUUUGAUGAGAGGCUUCAUGUACUAGUAUUUGUGUUCGUUCACCUCCAUGGUAUCAUAAUGUGCAUCACCGGGUAGGUAAUCUCCAAGAUUGGUACCGGGCAAAAUCACCGGAUGAUUAGCGACGAUAUCGCUAGACACCUUGAGCGGGGGGCACGAUUGGUUCGCUUGUUCGCCGAGCUGGGCAAUUUUUCCCAACUCAUCGCUCUGCUAACCUUCGAUCACUGAUAGCACUUCCCGACCGCUCCGCUUCGAUAUAUGACCUUUCAAUAAUGCGCUCAUAGUUGGUUUUCGGCGGAGACGGUGGUGGUUUCUUGAGGGCAUCCAUAGUGCGCUUUGCUUUCACCGGAUCUAUCUUCUCCUCCAGAGGUGAAUGUUUCUUAGCUCUUUGCAUUACAAAGAACUCCCUCACUUGGGCUUGAUAGAUCUCUGCGUUUUCCUUCUCGGUCAUCUCGUAUGGUAACUUCUCUAGAGGCUUUAGACAUGGACCGAAUCUGAAUUGCCUCCCGCCUCUGGCUAUACUGCUAGACGCUGGAGCAGAAAGAGUGGUUGUGGCUGUCUUCUUUCCUUGCUUACUAGGCGGAACAGACGGAGCAGUCGGAGCGGCGGCGGCUCUCUUCCGCCCUUGCUGACAAGGCGGACAAGGAGGCGGGUUGCUCGGGCGCGCUGGCGCAGGCGGAGAAGGAGGCGGAGUGCUUCCAUGCGUCAGAGAAGGAGGUGGAGUGCCCUGAUCACUCGCCGGAGGAGGAGGCGGAGUGCCCUGACUCGCCCGAGGAGGAGGAGGAGGCGGAGGCACCUAGUUCGGAAGGUUGAUGAGCUCGUUCCGCCAUAGACAUGGAGUCUUCAGAGCAGAACCCAGCUGAGUCUCCCCUUCACCAGUAGGGUGGUCAACCUCGAGCUCCUCAAAUCCCUUCGUUAUUUCAUCCAUCAUCACCCUAGCAUAUCCUUCUGGAAUUGUCCGGCAGUGAAAAGUUGCGCCGGGUUUAGGAGGUGCAACAGAGCCGACAGCCUCCUUUACUUUGAAGUUCUGCCAUUGCGUCAUAAGGUGGCAAUGUUGAGACUCCGUGAUAGCAUCCACGGGGUAGCUAGCAGGAGCCAUGAAGAGAAGCUCCUGAAGCGGCUCGGUGGAAGCCACGCUGCUUCUUCGCUAAGAUGGCGGGGUAGCUUCGGCAGAUCGCUUGCUGUGAACUGCUUCUCCUUCCUCUAGCGCUUUUACCCUUGCAUGCAACACCUGUAGUUGGGUCUGCUCCACUGCCCUCCUCCUCUCUUGGUCUUUGUAUCCGCUUGCGUCCGGAAACCCAGCCUUCCACGGAAUGGAGCCUGGAGUGCCUCGUGUCGGUCCAGGGUACUCAGGAUUCCCGAGGGCCAUUGUGAGCUAGUCGUUUUCUUUGUCGGGAACGAACGUCCCUUCCUACGCUGCGGCGAUAUACUCCUGAAGCUUCAUGACGGGUAUUCGCAGUUGCUCGUUCGUCCAAACGCACUUCCCUGUUUCAGGGUCCAAGGUUCCGUCAACCCCGAAGAACCAAGUCCUUGAACGGUCUGGCCAGUUCAAUGUCUCUGGCUCGACCCCUUUAUCAAGAAAGUCAUUCUCAGCCUUUGCCCACAAUGGCCGGUCUUUGAGGUAGCCACCUGACAUCGUGCGAUGGUGAUUCUCCUUCUUGUUUGUCGCUGGCAUCUUCUUACUCUUGUCCGAUGUCUUGUGGGCCAAAAAUGCAUCCCAGUGAUCUCUGAUCUUCUCAAACCGGCCGGUGAAUUCUAGUGUCUUCUCUUUGUCAACAAACUUUGUUUUCAGCUCAUUCUUCCACCUGUUGAAUAGAUAUGCCAUCUUCUUAAGAGCAUGAGACUUGACCAAUGGCUCUAUAACUGGCUUCUCUGGAUCCUCCUCUGGCGGUAGGGUGAAAUUUGCCUUCAGCGCGGCCCAAAGAUCAUCUUUCUGCCUAUCUGUCAGGACCCCAAUUCCAAGUCACAUCGAUCUAGCCGGUACACCUCAUAUCACUUUGCGGCCUCAGGCAUGGUAUUCCCACGGGUGUCGCCUUACCAUGGCCCGGGACCAUUUGCGCCUUUUGGCUCACGUAUAUGAUAGUGUCGCUAGCAUCCAUAUGAUAGAGAACCCGGGCCGACAUGACUAGUCGUGAACCCAAAGUGGCACUAACUUACGGGGACAGGCAUACAUGAAUCAACAUCGAGCAUGUCGGUCAGCAGCGUGCAAAUCCGGGCUGUAGCACUGGGCUAACAGGACUCCGGUGAACCGGGCUGUAGCAGGCUAGGUAGGACUCCGGAUGUCACCGCAUGACAUUUCCCCGAAGGGACAGACACAGGAACGAAGUGAAUCACAUGCCAGCCAGUCUAAGUGUUCCGGAGCAGCAGUGCUGGGCUAGCAGGACUCCGGUAAACCGGGCUGUAGCGGACUACCAAGGCUCAGUGGAAGCACCAGACUACAUUUCCCCAUAAGAGAGGCUACCAAGGAUAAACAACUAGAUUGUCGGAUCCCACACAUACCAAGCAUUUCAAUAACAUACACACAAUAUGCUCGAUAUGUGCAAAUACAACAUGGCACCACAACAAGACUCUACGACUCAAAGUAUUUAUUCAUUAGGCUCCGAGGAGCAAGAUAUUACAAACAUGGGUCUCAUGACCCAACAAUCAUAGCAUAUAAAUCAAAGCACAUGCGGAAGCUUAACAUGUCUGGGUACAGACAUCUUCAAAUGAAAAAGGCUGAGAAGCCUGACUAUCUACAAGACCCUGCCGAGGGCACAAGAUGGUAGUUGAGUUAUGAAGCUAAACGUCGAAGUCCACACGGAACUACUAGCGAGACUGACGUCUCUCUGCAAAACAUAAAAUAGGGAAACGUGAGUACAAAUGUACCCAGCAAGACUUACAUCAGAACUAACUACAUAUGCAUCAGUAUCAACAAAGGGGAUGGUGGAGUUUAACUCCAGCAAGCCAGCUUUGACUCGGUGGCUAACCUGAACUACGACUGCAAGCAACUCUUUUGAGGUGGCGCACACGAGUCCACAUAUUCACCAUAUCAAUACACCACUAUGGAUCUGCUGUCGUCUCCAUACGAAAACGCCAUCCAUAGCACUCACGCUUAUCUUGCGCAUUUUAGAGUAUCCACUUUCACUUGUCUAUGAACUGUAUAGGCAACCAAGUAGUCCUUUACCAUGGAUGCAGCUAUUCGAAUGGAUGAUGUUAACCCUGCAGGGGUGUACUACUUCAUACACGCUCUCACCACUUACCGUCGUUUACACGGCAUGUACUCGGUAACCUUCAAGCGGAAGCCCAACGAGGGUGUCGGCCACGGCCUACCUAAACACUGAAGUCUCUAGUCCAGGUUUAUCGCCUAUCCAGGUUCCAUCCGCAGGGAGCCCGGCCGAGGUUUCCACAUACGGCCCCGAACGAUGUGUACAGGGUUCCCGAGACACCAAACGGGCGACUCGGUACACCGUGCCAUGGUGUAUCUACCGCAUCAUAGCCCACCCCUAGGUUCAGCGCUAUGCACGGCCGCCAACACAUAUCCUAUAAAUACUAGAAACUAGUUGCAACUCCUGGACAGAGAACUAGGGUGGUUAAGAAGCCGAGAGGGUCCAUUGGUUUCGGGCCCAAUGCAUGGUAGUAGCUGGUUCUUAAAUCACACAUACAGAUCUCGGUGCUUAAGGACGGUUCCAAUAAAACAACCCACAAUGUACUCCUACAUGGCCUCUCAUCGAUACCUUUACCAAAUCGUGUUCACCACACUUAGCUCACACACAGUAGGACAUGUUCACAACUUUCGAAUUCAUCCCCGAUGAAUCAGACCUGACACAACUCCAAGCAAUAGUAGGCAUGACAAACAAGCAUGAAUGAGUAGGCACAUCAGGGCUCAAACAACUCCUACUCAUGCUAGUGGGUUUCAUCUAUUUACUGUGGCAAUGACAGGUCAUGCAGAGGAAAGGGGUUCAACUACCGCAGCAUGUAACAGUUGAGUCGUUGUUGUCCUAAUGCAGUAAAAGAGAGCAGGAGCGAGCAAGUGGGUUUGUAUCGGAAUGAACAAGGGGGUUUUGCUUGCCUGGCACUUCUCAAGAUAGUAUAGCUCUUCAUCGGUGUCAUCAAACUCAUCGUCAGAACAUAUGUCUACUAAGGGGGAACAGGUACCGGCAACAAAGAGAGAGCACAAUCAAUGUAAUGCACAAUAUGAUGCAUGAUCAUGACGUGGCAGGAUGUUGUGAUUUGAGCUAAUGCAACUAAAACCAGAUGAAAUGAAGUUGGUUUGAACCAAAGAUUCAAAUUCAACUCCAUAUGUGAUUAUUUAAAUGGCACGUGUUUGAUUUAACCUGAUCAGUAGGCAUAAGUUGUUCAAACAUGCAUGAUAAUGCCACAAUCAGGUUCUUUGGAUUUUUCUGAUCAUUUUUCAUAUAUAAAUUAUUUGAUUUGGAGCUACGGUUGAUUUUCUAUGAAUUUUAGAAGUUUUGGAUAUUUUGUGAAAUAAAUAAAUCAUUUCUGAUUUAUUUAAAAUCCCAGAAAACAUUUACUACGUAAGCUUGACGUCGGUGUGACAUCAGCAAGUCAACAGAGGCGGUCCAGGUCAAACCUGACCAAUGGGACCCGCACGUUAGUGUAACAGGGCAGGGACAGAGGCUGACUGGUGGGUCCGGGUCAAUGAUGACGUGGCAUGGUCAAACUGACACGUGGGGCCGACUAUAUUAAUCUAAACUAAAUAGGGAAUAAUCCCGGGGUUAAUUAAGGCAUGGGUCCCAUAGUCACUGAGAGAGGGGUUAGUUAGUGGCAUCAUUAGCCACUAAUGACGGCGCCAUGUCGACACGGCCGGAGUUAAGCCGCCAUCGACCUUCCCGCGUGGCGGAGUCCACACGGGAUGGCGCUACAGGAGGCAGCUGGGCGAGAGAAAGGCACAGGGAGGAGGCCCUCGCUCGCGCGCAUCUAAUGGAGUAGGUGGGAGGUUGCGGGGUGGUCGGAGCUCGCCGGAAGUGAGCUCGCAGCGGCGCCGGAAUUCGGGUGAGUGCGGGGUUGGCGCUGUGGUGCGCGGGAGGGUGAGUUAGCAUGUGUGUUAGGCUCCUGGUGGCUUCCUGAGCGCGGUGACGCGCUCCGAAUCAAGCUCAGGCGGCUGUAGUGACGGCCGUGACAUGGCCGGCGGUAGGGGAAGCUUGGCCAUGGUAGUUGCUGAUGCUAGGGGUCGAAAGGGACGGAGGUAACGAGGGAGAAAGGACAGAGAUCUCACAACGCGUCGACGGGUAGGCUCUGCGUGCUCGGGGAAGGCCGGAAGCAGGUGAAUCAGUGGCGGCCGUGGUCAGAGCUCGAGGUGGUAGACAACGACGAUGGCGACGUUGUAGGGUGCCCGAGGAUGCAUGGCUCGUCUGGGAUGAUAAAGAUGAUGAGGCGGAGCCGAUGGACACGGCGGUUGGUCGAGGAACGGGCGGUGAGCGUGGUGGCAGUGAGCGGCGGCAAUGAGCUUGCUCGGCUUCGGGAGAGAGAGCGAGAGAGGCGAGGUAGGGAGAGAGGGGAGCGGUCGAGAGGGUCCAGGGGGGUAGCGUGGCGAUGCCAGAGGCGUCCAGGCCAUCGAGGAGGCAGGCGAGCAGGGUGGAGGUGGCGCGUGCGUGUGCCCUGCCCAGCUUCUCCUCUGCCUACUGGCAAGAGGUAGAAGACGAUGUCCCCCCUGGUGGGCUGGCCAGCUCGGCUAUAAUAGUGCCAGGCCAGGUAAGCCAGGUGGGUUUCUCUCUCUCUGCUCCAUUUCUAUUUUAGUUUCUGUUUUCUAUUAUUCUGCAGUCUUUAGGGCUUUAUUACAGAUACUUAAACAGAUCCGAAAAUCAUGAAACUGCUCAAUGCCACUGUUUGGAAUAUAACCAACAGCAAACAUUUUAGUUUAUGAUUAUUUGAGCAUUUAAAAUAUUUAAUAGCAUUUAUAUGCCCAAAUGCAAAUACUAUAUGAUUUAAUUCAGAGCCCAAAUAUUUCAUGGAAAAAUGUGCAACACCUCUGGUUAUUGCUUCUAGAAUUUUCCAGAAAUGAUGAACAUUUUUGAAAGCCAUUUGGAUUCACUGAGAAUAUUUUAGUUGAACCUAGUGAAUUCCUUUGAUUCUAGGGUUUAAACAAUCCCUACUUCAAGUUCAUUUGAGACUUAAACAUGAUGCACAUAUGAAGCUAGCCUAGUGAAUGCCAGAAGCUAGGGAUGUGACAACUCACCCCCACUAUACAAGAAUCUCGUCCCGAGAUUCAGGACGUGAGGUGAGAAGACAAAGGGGAUGCAAGGCUUAACACAAUCUUCAUGAUCCAACUGCCUUCCCGGAGUUGUUGAUUCAUUGACUCCAAUUGACCUUGACAUCUUUGCUCUGAGAACUCCAACCCACAUGACAACGAGAGGAAAGGAAAAACUCUAGAAGGAUCGAUCUUCUCGAAGAUCGAACAACCGAUGAUGAACUCAUGGAAUGAGACAUUGAAACAUCUCUCAAGCUGAGACAUGAAACAUACAUCUAGGGGAUGGAGUGUAACAGAUGACGAAGGUUCACUAGGUAGACAACAAUUUCAGGCUUAAGAAGGUGGUGAACGGUUGUCGACGUAGCGAGGAGUUGAGUUUCCAUGAUACCAUAAGGAGACAUCUUAGAAGAAGGUGACUCGCAGAAAUAUCCCCUUAAGUGGCAAAAAGAAUUACUUUUGAUUCAGAGAUCAUUGAAACUCUUCAUACCAGCCUAGGGCAAAUCACAACAAUCGUUUGUUGGAAUACGAAGGGAUGGCAUACCCAGACUAGGAUGGAUGAUGUGGACUACCUUGUUGAAGACAACACAAUGGAUGAUUUUUGAUUAUCAUCGGAAAUGGAUGGGACCCAUGGUAGGACCACUUGAAGAUGAUCUUGGACAACAACUGCUGAGAAGGCGGAUCAUAGUGAAAAGGCACAAUGGUGGGUGCAAGCUGGGGACAAAAUGCAAAUGUUGGGAAUGAUUCUAGUAACUGGGGAGAAACCCAACACUAGAGAGAGAUUCCACUAUUUGAAAGGUUAUAGCAUAACCGAGGAAACUGAGAGCAGAUCCCAAUUAAUGCCAACGAUAAAUCCUAGUGAUUGCGAGUGCUCUCAAGAACUUGAGCAUUCCCAUAAUCAACAAGUUUUUCCAAUAUCCAUGUCAAGGAUCCUGGCAACACAACAUACUACCAUGAUGAAUAAUGGUGGAGGAUGCAGAUGCAAAGAAAGAUAACACUUUCUCAGAUUUCACCUUAGCGAGGCCAAGGGAUCAAAAUCUGGAUGAUCGACCGAGAGACAUUUAGCACUCCGCUUCUAUUGUUCUCCUUGAUGUGCUAGCAUAACCCAGUCAUUGAUAUGGUUUGGUAUCUAGGACAUCAAGUAAAAGGUCGGACUUCGGGAACACAAAAAUCCAUAAGGAACUACUAAUGGAAUAAAUUCUACGAGAUGCUUAUGGGGAGGUGGCCAACUUCUUCAAACAAGAUACUACAAUAAUAUGUCUUCCGGUUGGGUGUGUUGGCCAUGUCAUCCACUCUACUGGUUAUGAAGAGACAAAUAUUAUAACUCUUGGGAAAACGCCCCAACCAUCAUAUCUGCCUGAGAUUCAGAUCUGGUUGGUGUUAGGAUAUUCCAGACUCAUCGAGUCUAGAAAGAAAAUGAAAGUUUGCAACACAAAUCGAUGAGAUGACAUUGCGAGAUUCUCGGGAGAUGAACUAUGAUAGCAAGCCCCAGAACAUGAGCUGGUUCUGCUACAACAUGUGAACACGUUGUCCCAGACAAGCAUGAACACAUAGUAGUCUUAUAAUAAAACACUACCGAGUCUAGGUGGGGAGCCAUCAUCAAGGAUAUCGAAGUCCUUGCAUAAGUCUUGCUCUUAAGAAGAGACUUCUUCUCCUUGAAUAAACCAAUCAGUGGCUUGGUGUGCUAGGGAUACAUAUAGAAUGAAGAUGAUCAGUCUAUCAGACCAUAGAAUUCUUCGCACAUGCAUGACUGACUUGGGAUGAUUCCAGAGAAAGCAAAACAAACUUUCUUGAAUUCACAGCGGCAACUUAUAUCAAAUGCACGUGAAUCAAAGGAAGUCACUUCUUUGAUCCAAACAUAUACUUCAUGAACGGGGCAUGAAGAAAAUGCUUACACAAGUUUCCAACACUAGCUGGAUGUUCAACACAAAUCAUGAAGGAGACAAAAUGCUGCUGAUGGGCUCAACAGCGACUCAUCGGAAUUUCCAUAUCACCGGACUUCCACCAUUAUGUGAACAAUGUGAUAGUAUUGGUCAGACCAAAAGAUGUAAUGGUGUAUGCUUGAGGAGUCAACCACGAGUAGACAACAUUACGAACAUCGUUGGUUCUGAUUUGAUUUGAGGAUAGCCCACACUCAAAUCAAGGUUGGACAAGAUGAUAGAUUGAAGAACUGAUCACGAGGAUCAAUCGAUGAAGAUAUCAUCUUUCUUCAACACACACACAACACAAGGAUAUCCCUUCCGAAAUGAACUAAGUGGGAAAAGCUUUCAUCUUCCAACUCUGCAAAUUGUUGUUUAGCUCAACCGACUAGUUCAGGGUAUCCAACAUAGAAUCAUGGAGAAUGGGUGGUUUGAAGGAAAACCAAUAUGAUCACGAACUCAACAUAGCAGUCAGGUGACAACCUGGUAAUACUUCCGUGAAGAUAUUCAGAAAAUCACGAACCACUGAUAUGACUCUAAGCUCGAGAAUAAUCUUGCUUUUCAGGGCAAGACGAUAUAAUCAAAAGAGUGAGGGAUUGACACAAUCCCAACUCAUGGAUCGAAGAGUGCACUAGAAAUAAGGACUAGGUAGCACGAUCAAUCUUAGGAUGAUGAUUUAAUAAUCAACACUAUAAGAAUGAGAAUAUUGUCCAUUUACUACAAAGCAACGAGUUGCUCGGAGUAUUGAUUUCACACAUCACAAUUCACUUGUCGGCAUUUCGGUUACAACAACACGGAACCGAGGAAUGAAUAACGAUGGCGAGAAGUAUCACUGCGUCAAGAAUUCAUAAGAGGUUGUGCAAUUAUCAUGACAUUCUUGACAUAAAGAUGGUAACACUCCAAGGUAGAACAGAGCAAAAGCUGGAUUGGCAUUUUGAUCUGCGAAAUACAACUACUUUGACCAGUCCAAGAAAUGGAUGAGCUGCUGGAGUUUGUUUUUCCUAGUCAUUCCGGAAUAGAAUGGCUUGUCGGACCACAAGGAUAAUAGGCAUCGAUAACACGAAUGCACGACUACUCUCCUGGCUACAAAUUGAUAGUCAGAGGUCAGAAAACAACUAAUGAGGGACAACUCAAAGAACAUAUGAUUUUCUGAGUUAUGGAUGCAUAGAUUAGUAUGUCGAACAAGUUCAACAUAUUUCUUUUGGAUAACCCAUGCAGAAGAAAAGGGACUGGCAGAAUCGCAAUAUGAAUGGAGUACUCCUCAAGAGCACCCUGGUUGUGAUCUUUUGGUUCAAAAGAACUUCUGCCAUGAUGGUUCAUGGUAUUUGGAAGAAUGAUAUACCAUGGACCUCGAAGAUUAUCACAAAGAUUACUACUAUCCUAAAGGUACAAGAAACACUAUCAACGCGAGGUAAGUAGAGUGGAUCUUGGGUCAAGAACCCAGGAGUAGAAUACCUACUACUAAAUGGCAUCACGGGAUGCUUCCGAGAAUGGUGGCCAGAAUCAUCACACCGGGAACACAAAACAUGGCUAGAUUACUAGGUGACUCCCUAAAACACCUAGGGUCAUAAUAAUAGCUCCAACAUAUAUACCGAGGUAAUAGAGUACCUCAAUGCACCGGUUAGUGUGCUCAUUCUGACCAAAAAGGACAUUGAGAACGGAAAGAAAGGAUUUGCAAGUGCAUCAAACUAUGUAGAGACCUGGGAUGACUCGAACAGCAUAACGACUGUAAAUUGUCAAAAGAUUUGAGACAUCCUGCAAAAUGGUGGCAUAACCACUCAACAUCAUAAUAUCAAGGUUUCGAGACCAACUAUGAACACAUGGAAGUACUAGAAACUGAACUGCGACAUGAAUCCAUCAAUACUAUAAGUCUAUGGAUUAGUAACAUGUCAUCCUGAUAGAUAGAUGAGAAGGCCUAGUUUCUUAACCCUGUAGAAAAGAAGAGGUUGAUUCAGAUCAGAAGGGCAUAAGGUAAAGGAGUAAAAAGAGCCUUACGUUCCCUUCCACAAUCAAUUCCCUUAUAUAACUAAAGCAUUUCAAGACUCAACUUCGACCAGUUUGGCUUGGUAAUCCUACAGGCAGCCAGGCUCUGAUACCAACGCUAUCAGGACCCAGAUUCCAAGUCACAUCGAUCUAUCCAGUAACACCUCAUAUCACUUUGCGGCCUCACGCAUGGUAUUCCCGCGGGUGUCGCCUUACCAUGGCCUGGGACCGUUUGCGCCUUUUGGCUCACGUAUAUGAUAGUGUCGCUAGCUAGCAUCCAUAUGACAGAGAACCCGGGCCGACAUGACUAGUCGUGAACCCAAAGUGGCACUAACAGGCAUACAUGAAUCAACAUCGAGCAUGUUGGUCAGCAGCAUGCGAAUCCGGACUGUAGCACUGGGCUAACAGGACUCCGGUGAACCGGGCUGUAGCAGGCUAGGCAGGACUCUGGAUGUCACCGCGUGACAUUUCCUUGAAGGGACAGACACAGGAACGAAGUGAAUCACAUGUCGGCCAAUCUAAGUGUUCCGGACUAGCACUGCUGGGCUAGCAGGACUCCGGUAAACCGGGCUGUAGCGGACUACCAAGGCUCAGUGGAAGCACCAGAAUACAUUUCCCCAUAAGAGAGGCUACCAAGGAUAAACAACUGGAUUAUCGGAUGCCACACAUACCAAGCAUGUCAAUAACAUACACACAAUAUGCUCGAUAUGUGCAAAUUCAUGGCAUCACAACAAAACUCUACGACUCAAAGUAUUUAUUCAUUAGGCUCCGAGGAGCGAGAUAUUACAAACAUGGGUCUCAUGACCCAACAACCAUAGCAUACAAAUCAAAGCACAUGCGGAAGCUUAACUGUUGGGAACGCAGUAAUUUCAAAAAUUUUCCUACGCACAUGCAAGAUCAUGGUGAUGCAUAGCAACGAGAGGGGAGAGUGUUGUCUACGUACCCACGCAGACCGACUGCAGAAGCGAUCACACAACAUAGCGGAAGUAGUCGUACGUCUUCCCGAUCCGAUCGAUCCAAGCACCGUUACUCCGGCACCUCCGAGUUCUUAGCACACGUACAACUCGAUGACGAUUCCCGGGCUCCGAUCCAGCAAAGCAUCGGGGAAGAGUUCUGUCAGCACGACGGCGUGGUGACGAUCUUGAUGUUCUACCGACGUAGGGCUUCGCCUAAGCACUACAACGAUAUGAUCGAGGUGGAGUAUGGUGGCAGGGGGCACCGCACACGGCUAAGGAACAAUCUCAAGGAUCAACUUGUGUGUCUAGAGGUGCCCCCCUGCCCCCCUAUAUAAAGGAUCCAAGGGGGAGGGGGCGGCCGGCCAGGAGGAGGGCGCAGGAGGAGUCCUACUCCUACCGGGAGUAGGACUCCCCCCCAAUCCUAUUCCAAAUAGGAUUCCCAAGGGGGAAAGAGAGAGAGGGGGCCGGCCACCUCUCCUAGUCCUAAUAGGACUAGGGGAAAGGGGAGGCGUGCGGCCACCUUUCGGCUGCCCCUUUUCUCCUUUCCACUAAAUCCCAUUAAGGCCCAUAUGGUUCCCGGGGGGUUCCGGUAACCUCCCGGUACUCCGGUAAAAUCCCGAUUUCACCCGGAACACUUCCGAUAUCCAAACAUCGGCUUCCAAUAUAUCAAUCUUUAUGUCUCGACCAUUUCGAGACUCCUCGUCAUGUCCGUGAUCACAUCCGGGACUCCGAACUAACUUCGGUACAUCAAAAUGCAUAAACUCAUAAUAACUGUCAUCGUAACGUUAAGCGUGCGGACCCUACGGUUCGAGAACAAUGUAGACAUGACUGAGACACAUCUCCAGUCAAUAACCAAUAGCGGGACCUGGAUGCCCAUAUUGGCUCCUACAUAUUCUACGAAGAUCUUUAUCGGUCAGACCGCAUAACAACAUACGUUGUUCCCUUUGUCAUCGGUAUGUUACUUGCCCGAGAUUCGAUCGUCGGUAUCCAAUACCUAGUUCAAUCUCGUUACCGGCAAGUCUCUUUACUUGUUCCCUAAUACAUCAUCCCGCAACUAACUCAUUAGUUGCAAUGCUUGCAAGGCUUAUGUGAUGUGCAUUACCGAGAGGGCCCAGAGAUACCUCUCCGACAAUCGGAGUGACAAAUCCUAUUCUCGAAAUACGCCAACCCAACAUCUACCAUUGGAGACACCUGUAGAGCUCCUUUAUAAUCACCCAUUUACGUUGUGACAUUUGGUAGCACACAAAGUGUUCCUCCGGCAAACGGGAGUUGCAUAAUCUCAUAGUCAUAGGAACAUGUAUAAGUUAUGAAGAAAGCAAUAGCAACAUACUAAACGGUCGGGUGCUAAGCUAAUGGAAUGGGUCAUGUCAAUCAGAUCAUUCAACUAAUGAUGUGACCUCGUUAAUCAAAUAACAACUCUUUGUUCAUGGUUAGGAAACAUAACCAUCUUUGAUUAACGAGCUAGUCAAGUAGAGGCAUACUAGUGACAUUCUGUUUGUCUAUGUAUUCACACAUGUAUUAUGUUUCCGGUUAAUACAAUUCUAGCAUGAAUAAUAAACAUUUAUUAUGAUAUAAGGAAAUAAAUAAUAACUUUAUUAUUGCCUCUAGGGCAUAUUUCCUUUAGUCUCCCACUUGCACUAGAGUCAAUAAUCUAGAUUAUACAGUAAUGAUUCUAACACCCAUGGAGCCUUGGUGCUGAUCAUGUUUUGCUCGUGGAAGAGGCUUAGUCAACGGGUCUGCAACAUUCAGAUCCGUAUGUAUCUUGCAAAUCUCUAUGUCUCCCACCUGGACUAGAUCCCGGAUGGAAUUGAAGCGUCUCUUGAUGUGCUUGGUCCUCUUGUAAAAUCUGGAUUCCUUUGCCAAGGCAAUUGCACCAGUAUUGUCACAAAAGAUUUUCUUUGCACCUGAUGCACUAGGUAUGACACCUAGAUCGAAUAUGAACUCCUUCAUCCAGACUCCUUCAUUUGCUGCUUCCGAAGCAGCUAUGUACUCCGCUUCACAUGUAGAUCCCGCUAUGACACUUUGUUUAGAACUGCACCAACUGACAGCUCCACCGUUUAAUGUAAACACGUAUCCGGUUUGUGACUUAGAAUCAUCCGGAUCAGUGUCAAAGCUUGCAUCAACGUAACCUUUUAUGGUGAGCUCUUUGUCACCUCCAUAUACGAGAAACAUAUCCUUAGUCCUUUUCAGGUAUUUCAGGAUGUUCUUGACCGCUGUCCAGUGAUCCUCUCCUGGAUUACUUUGGUACCUCCCUGCUAAACUUAUAGCAAGGCAGACAUCAGGUCUGGUACACAGCAUUGCAUACAUGAUAGAGCCUAUGGCUGAAGCAUAGGGAACGUCUUUCAUUUUCUCUCUAUCUUCUGCAGUGGUCAGGCAUUGAGUCUGACUCAACUUCACACCUUGUAACACAGGCAAGAACCCUUUCUUUGCUUGAUCCAUUUUGAACUUCUUCAGAAUCUUGUCAAGGUAUGUGCUUUGUGAAAGUCCAAUUAAGCGUCUUGAUCUAUCUCUAUAGAUCUUUAUGCCUAAUAUGUAAGCAGCUUCACCGAGGUCUUUCAUUGAAAAACUCUUAUUCAAGUAUCCCUUUAUGCUAUCCAGAAAUUCUAUAUCAUUUCCAAUCAGUAAUAUGUCAUCCACAUAUAAUAUCAGAAAUGCUACAGAGCUCCCACUCACUUUCUUGUAAAUACAUGCUUCUCCGAAAGUCUGUAUAAAUCCAAAUGCUUUGAUCACACUAUCAAAGCGUUUAUUCCAACUCCGAGAGGCUUGCACCAGUCCAUAAAUGGAUCGCUGGAGCUUGCACACUUUGUUAGCUCCCUUUGGAUCGACAAAACCUUCCGGUUGCAUCAUAUACAACUCUUCUUCCAGAAAUCCAUUCAGGAAUGCAGUUUUGACAUCCAUUUGCCAAAUUUCAUAAUCAUAAAAUGCGGCAAUUGCUAAUAUGAUUCGGACAGACUUAAGCAUCGCUACGGGUGAGAAGGUCUCAUCGUAGUCAACCCCUUGAACUUGUCGAAAACCUUUCGUGACAAGUCGAGCUUUGUAGAUAGUAACAUUACCGUCAGCGUCAGUCUUCUUCUUGAAGAUCCAUUUAUUCUCAAUUGCUUGCCGAUCAUCGGGCAAGUCAACCAAAGUCCAUACUUUGUUCUCAUACAUGGAUCCCAUCUCAGAUUUCAUGGCUUCAAGCCACUUUGCAGAAUCUAGGCUCACCAUCGCUUCUUCAUAGUUCGUAGGUUUAUCAUGAUCUAGUAGCAUGACUUCCAGAACUGGAUUACCGUACCACUCUGGCGCGGAUCUCACUCUGGUUGAUCUACGAGGUUCAGUAGUAUCUUGAUCUAAAGCUUCAUGAUCAUCAUCAUUAACUUCCUCACUAACUGGUGUAGGUGUCACUGAAACAUUUUUCUGUGAUGUACUACUUUCCAAUAAGGGAGCAGGUACAGUUACCUCGUCAAGUUCUACUUUCCUCCCACUCACUUCUUUCGAGAGAAAUUCCUUCUCUAGAAAGGAUCCAUUCUUAGCAACAAAUAUCUUGCCUUCGGAUCUGUGAUAGAAGGUGUACCCAACAGUCUCCUUUGGGUAUCAUAUGAAGACACAUUUCUCUGAUUUGGGGUCGAGCUUAUCAGGUUGAAGCUUUUUCACAUAAGCAUCGCAGCCCCAAACUUUAAGAAACGACAACUUUGGUUUCUUGCCAAACCACAGUUCAUAAGGUGUCAUCUCAACGGAUUUUGAUGGUGCCCUAUUUAACGUGAAUGCGGCCGUCUCUAAAGCAUAACCCCAAAACGAUAGCGGUAAAUCAGUAAGAGACAUCAUAGAUCGCACCAUAUCUAUUAAAGUACGAUUACGGCGUUCGGACACACCAUUACCCUGUGGUGUUCUGGGUGGUGUGAGUUGUGAAACUAUUCCACAAUUUUUCAAAUGUACAACAAACUCGUAACUCAAAUAUUCUCCUCCAUGAUCAGAUCGUAGAAACUUUAUUUUCUUGUUACGAUGAUUUUCAACUUCACUCUGAAAUUCUUUGAACUUUUCAAAUGUUUCAGACUUAUGUUUCAUUAAGUAGAUAUACCCAUAUCUGCUGAAAUCAUCUGUGAAGGUGAGAAAAUAACGGUACCCGCCGCGAGCCUCAACAUUCAUUGGACGACAUACAUCUGUAUGUGUGAUUUCCAAUAAAUCUGUUGCUCGCUCCAUGGUUCCGGAGAACGGCGUUUUAGUCAUCUUGCCCAUGAGGCACGGUUCGCAAGUACCAAGUGAUUCAUAAUCAAGUGGUUCCAAAAGUCCAUCAGUAUGGAGUUUCUUCAUGCGCUUUACACCGAUAUGACCUAAACGACAGUGCCACAAAUAAGUUGCACUUUCAUUAUCAACUCUGCAUCUUUUGGCUUCAACAUUAUGAAUAUGUGUAUUACUACUAUCGAGAUUCAUCAAAAAUAGACCACUCUUCAAAGGUGCAUGACCAUAAAAGAUAUUACUCAUAUAAAUAGAACAACCAUUAUUCUUUGAUUUAAAUGAAUAACCGUCUCGCAUCAAACAAGAUCCAGAUAUAAUGUUCAUGCUCAACGCUGGCACCAAAUAACAAUUAUUUAGGUCUAAUAUUAAUCCCGAAGGUAGAUGUAGAGGUAGCGUGCCGACCGCGAUCACAUCGACUUUGGAACCAUUUCCCACACGCAUCGUCACCUCAUCCUUCGCCAGUGUUCGCUUAAUCCGUAGUCCCUAUUUCGAGUUGCAAAUAUUAGCAACAGAACCAGUAUCAAAUACCCAGGUGCUACUGCGAGCUCUAGUAAGGUACACAUCAAUAACAUGUAUAUCACAUAUACCUUUUGUUCACCUUGCCAUCCUUCUUAUCCGCUAAAUACUUGGGGCAGUUCCGCUUCCAGUGACCAGUCUGCUUGUAGUAGAAGCACUCAGUUUUAGGCUUAGGUCCAGACUUGGGUUUCUUCUCUUGAGCAGCAACUUGCUUGCUGUUCUUCUUGAAGUUCCCCUUAUUCUUCCCUUUGCCCUUUUUGUUGAAACUAGUGGUCUUGUUAACCAUCAACACUUGAUGCUCCUUUUUGAUUUCUACCUCCGCAGCUUUCUCAAGGAACACAUUAAAAUUCAACGGAACAACAGCACGAGCCAUCUAUCUACAAUCAACAUAAACAAGCAAGAUACUAUUAGGUACUAAGUUCAUGAUAAGUUUAAGUUCAAUUAAUCAAAUUACUUAAGAACUCCCACUUAGAUAGACAUCCCUCUAAUCCUCUAAGUGAUCACGUGAUCCAAAUCAACUAAACCAUGUCCGAUCAUCACGUGAGAUGGAGUAGUUUCAUUGGUGAACAUCACUAUGUUGAUCAUAUCUACUAUAUGAUUCACGCUCGACCUUUCGGUCUCCGUGUUCCAAGGCAAUAUCUGUAUAUGCUUGGCUCGUCAAGUAUAACCUGAGUAUUCCGCGUGUGCAACUGUUUUGUACCCGUUGUAUUUGAACGUAGAGCCUAUCACACCCGAUCAUCACGUGGUGUCUCAGCACGAAGAACUUUCGCAAUGGUGCAUAUUCAGGGAGAACACUUCUUGAUAAUUUAGUGAGAGAUCAUCUUAUAAUGCUACCGUCAAUCAAAGCAAGAUAAGAUGCAUAAAAAGAUAAACAUCACAUGCAAUCAAUAUAAGUGAUAUGAUAUGGCCAUCAUCAUCUUGUGCCUGUGAUCUCCAUCUCCGAAGCACCGUCAUGAUCACCAUCGUCACCGGCGCGACACCUUGAUCUCCAUCGUAGCAUCGUUGUCGUCUCGCCAAUCUUAUGCUUCCACGACUAUCGCUACCGCUUAGUGAUAAAGUAAAGCAUUACAUCGCGAUUGCAUUGCAUACAAUAAAGCGACAACCAUAUGGCUCCUACCAGUUGCCGAUAACUCGGUUACAAAACAUGAUCAUCUCAUACAAUAAAAUUUAGCAUCAUGCCUUGACCAUAUCACAUCACAACAUGCCCUGCAAAAACAAGUUAGACGUCCUCUACUUUGUUGUUGCAAGUUUUACGUGGCUGCUACGGGCUUAAGCAAGAACCAAUCUCACCUACGCAUCAAAACCACAAUGAUAGUUUGUCAAAUAGACUCCGUUUUAACCUUCGCAAGGACCGGGCGUAGCCACACUUGGUUCAACUAAAGUUGGAGAGACAGUCGCCCGCAAGCCACCUGUGUGCAAAAGCACGUUGGGGGAACCGGUCUCGCGUAAGCGUACGCGUAAGGUUGGUCCGGGUCGUCUCGUCCAACAAUACCGCCGAACCAAAGUAUGACAUGCUGGUAGGCAGUAUGACUUAUAUCGCCCACAACUCACUUGUGUUCUACUCGUGCAUAUAACAUCAAACCAUAAAAUCUAGGCUCGGAUGCCACUGUUGGGAACGCAGUAAUUUCAAAAAAUUUCCUACGCACACGCAAGAUCAUGGUGAUGCAUAGCAACGAGAGGGGAGAGUGUUGUCUACAUUCCCACGCAGACCGACUGCAGAAGUGAUCACACAACGUAGAGGAAGUAGUCGUACGUCUUCCCGAUCCGACCGAUCCAAGCACCGUUACUCCGGCACCUCCGAGUUCUUAGCACAUGUACAACUCGAUGACGAUUCCCGGGCUCCGAUCCAGCAAAGCGUCGGGGAAGAGUUCCAUCAGCACGACGGCGUGGUGACGAUCUUGAUGUUCUACCGACAUAGGGCUUCGCCUAAGCACUACAACGAUAUGAUCGAGGUGGAGUAUGGUGGCAGGGGGCACCGCACACGGCUAAGGAACGAUCUCAAGGAUCAACUUGUGUGUCUAGAGGUGCCCCCCUGCCCCCGUAUAUAAAGGAUCCAAGGGGGAGGGGGCGGCCGGCCAGGAGGAGGGCGCAGGAGGAGUCCUACUCCUACCGGGAGUAGGACCCCCCCAAUCCUAUUCCAAAUAGGAUUCCCAAGGGGGAAAGAGAGAGAGAGGGGGCCGGCCACCUCUCCUAGGCCUAAUAGGACUAGGGGAAGGGGGAGGUGCGCGGCCACCUUUGGGCUGCCCCUUUUCUCCUUUCCACUAAAGCCCAUUAAGGCCCAUAUGGUUCCCGGGGGGUUCCGGUAACCUCCCGGUACUCCGGUAAAAUCCCGAUUUCACCUGGAACACUUCCGAUAUCCAAACAUAGGCUUCCAAUAUAUCAAUCUUUAUGUCUCGACCAUUUAGAGACUCCUCAUCAUGUCCGUGAUCACAUCCAGGACUCCGAACUAACUUCGGUACAUCAAAAUGCAUAAACUCAUAAUAACUAUCAUUGUAACGUUAAGCGUGCGGACCCUACGGUUCGAGAACAAUGUAGACAUGACUGAGACACAUCUCCGGUCAAUAACCAAUAGCGGGACCUGGAUGCCCAUAUUGGCUCCUACAUAUUCUACGAAGAUCUUUAUCGGUCAGACCGCAUAACAACAUACGUUGUUCCCUUUGUCAUCGGUAUGUUACUUGCCCGAGAUUCGAUCGUCGGUAUCCAAUACCUAGUUCAAUCUCGUUACCGGCAAGUCUCUUUACUCGUUCCGUAAUACAUCAUCCUGCAACUAACUCAUUAGUUGCAAUGCUUGCAAGGCUUAUGUGAUGUGCAUUACCGAGAGGGCCCAGAGAUACCUCUCCGACAAUCAGAGUGACAAAUCCUAUUCUCGAAAUACGCCAACCCAACAUCUACCAUUGGAGACACCUGUAGAGCUCCUUUAUAAUCACCCAUUUACGUUGUGAAGUUUGGUAGCACACAAAGUGUUCCUCCGGCAAACGGGAGUGGCAUAAUCUCAUAGUCAUAGGAAUAUGUAUAAGUUAUGAAGAAAGCAAUAGCAACAUACUAAAUGAUCGGGUGCUAAGCUAAUGGAAUGGGUCAUGUCAAUCAGAUCAUUCAACUAACGAUGUGACCUUGUUAAUCAAAUAACAACUCUUUGUUCAUGGUUAGGAAACAUAACCAUCUUUGAUUAACGAGCUAGUCAAGUAGAGGCAUACUAGUGACAUUCUGUUUGUCUAUGUAUUCACACAUGUAUUAUGUUUCCGGUUAAUACAAUUCUAGCAUGAAUAAUAAACAUUUAUCAUGAUAUAAGGAAAUAAAUAAUAACUUUAUUAUUGCCUCUAGGGCAUAUUUCCUUCAUUAACAUGUCUGGGUACAGACAUCUACAAAUGAAAAAGGCUAAGAAGCCUGACUAUCUACAAGACCCUUCCGAGGGCACAAGAUCGUAGCUGAGUUAUGAAGCUAAACGUCGAAGUCCACACGGAACUACUAGCAAGACUGACAUCUCUCUACAAAACAUAAAAUAGGGAAACAUGAGUACAAAUGUACCCAGCAAGUCUUACAUCAGAACUAACUACAUAUGCAUCGGUAUCAAUAAAGGGGGUGGUGGAGUUUAACUACAGCAAGCCAGCUUUGACUCGGUGGCUAACCUGAACUACGACUGCAAGCAACUCUUUUGAGGUGGCGCACACGAGUCCACAUAUUCACCAUAUCAAUACACCACUAUGGAUCCGCUCCCGUCUCCCUACGAAAAUGCCAUCCAUAGCAAUCACGCUUAUCUUGCGCAUUUUAGAGUAUCCACUUUCACUUGUCUAUGAACUGUAUAGGCAACCAAGUAGUCCUUUACCGUGGACGCGGCUAUUCGAAUAGAUGAUGUUAACCAUGCAGGGGUGUACUUCUUCAUACACGCUCUCACCACUUACCAUCGUUAACACGACAUGUAGUCGGCAACCUUCAAGCGGAAGCCCAACGAGGGUGUCGGCCACGGCCUACCUCAACACUGAAGUCUCUAGUCUAGGUUUAUCGCCUAUCCAGGUUCCAUCCACAGGGAGUCCGCCGAGGUUUCCACAUACGGCCCUGAACGAUGUGUACAGGGUUCCUGAGACACCAAACGGGCGACUCGGUACACCGUGCUACGGUGUAUCUACCGCAUCAUAGCCCACCCCUAGGGCCAGCUCUACGCACGGCCGCCAACACAUAUCCUAUAAAUACCAGAAACUAGUUGCAACUCCUGGACAGAGAACUAGGGUGGUUAAGAAGCCGAGAGGGUCCAUUGGUUUCGGGCCCAAUGCAUGGUAGUAGCUGGUUCUUAAAUCACACAUACAGAUCUUGGUGCUUAAGGACGGUUCUUAUGAAACAACCCACCAUGUACUCCUACAUGGCCUCUCAUCGAUACCUUUACCAAAUCGUGUUCAGCACACUUAGCUCACACACAGUAGGACAUGUUCACAACUUUCCAAUUCAUCCCCGAUGAAUCAGAACUGACACAACUCCAAGCAAUAGUAGGCAUGACAAACAAGCAUGAAUGAGUAGGCACAUCAGGGCUCAAACAACUCCUACUCAUGCUAGUGGGUUUCAUCUAUUUACUGUGGCAAUGAUAGGUCAUGCAGAGGAAAGGGGUUCAACUACCGCAGCAUGUAACAGUUGAAUCGUUGUUGUCCUAAUGUAGUAAAAGAGAGCAGGAGCGAGCAAGUGGGUUUGUAUCGGAACGAACAAGGGGUUUUUGCUUGCCUGGCACUUCUGAAGAUAGUAUAGCUCUUCAUCGGUGUCAUCGAACUCAUCGUCGGAACAUAUGUCUACUAAGGGGGAACAGGUACCAGCAACAAAGAGAGAGCACAAUCAAUGUAAUGCACAAUAUGAUUUAUGAUCAUGACGUGGCAGGAUGUUGUCAUUUGAGCUAAUGCAACUAAAACCAGAUUAAAUGAAGUUGGUUUGAACCAAAGUUUCAAAUUCAACUCCAUAUGUGAUUAUUUAAAUGCCAAUUGUUUGAUUUAACCUGGUCAGUAGGCAUAAGUUGUUCAUACAUGCAUGAUAAUGCCAUAAUCAUGUUCUUUGGAUUUUUUUGAUCAUUUUUCAUAUAUUAAUUAUUUGGUUUCGAGCUACUGUUGAUUUUCUAUGAAUUUUAGAAGUUUUGGAUAUUUUCUGAAAUAAAUAAAUCAUUUCUGAUUUAUUUAAAAUCCCAGAAAAUAUUUACUACAUAAGCAUGACGUCGGUGUGACAUCAGUAAGUCAAUAGAGGUGGUCCAGGUCAAACCUGACCAGUGGGACCCGCACGUCAAUGAUGACAGGGCAGUGACGGCGGGUCCGGGUCAACGAUGACGUGGCAUGGUCAAACUGACACGUGGGGCCGACUAUAUUAAUCUAAACUAAACAGGGAAUAAUCCCGGGGUUAAUUAAGGCAUGGGGCCCAUAGUCAGUGAGAGAGGGGUUAGUUAGUGGCAUCAUUAGCCACUAAUGAAGGCGCCACAUCGACACGGCCGGAGUUAAGCCGCCGGCGACCUUCCCGCGCGGCGGUGUCCAAACGGGACGGCGCUACAGGAGGCGGUGGGGCGAGAGAAGGGCCCAGGGAGGAGGCCCUCGCUCGCGCGCAUCCAACGGAGUAUGUGGGAGGUCGCGGGGUGGUCGGAGCUCGCCGGAAGUGAGCUCGCGGCGGCGCCUGAGUUCGGGUGAGUGCGGGGUUGGCGCUGUGGUGCGCGGGAGGGUGAGUUAGCAUGUGUGUUAGGCUCCUGGUGGCCUCCUGAGCGUGGUGACGCGCUCCGAAUCAAGCUUAGGCGGCUGCAGUGACGGCGGCGAGAUGCUCGGCUGCAGGUUAAGCUCGGCCAUGGUAGUUGCUGAUGCUAGGGGUCAAAAGGGACGGAGGUAAUGAGGGAGAAAGGACGAAGAUCUCACAACGCGUCAACGGGUAGGCUCUGUGUGCUUGGGGAAGGCCGGAAGCAGGUGAAUCGGUGGCGGCGGUGGUCAGAGCCCGAGGUGGAAGAUGACGACGAUGGCGACAUUGUAGGGCGCCCGAGGAUGCAUGGCUCGUCUGGGAUGAUGAAGAUGAUGAGGCGGAGCCGAUGGACACGGCGGUUGGUCGAGGGACGGGCGGUGAGCACGGUGGCAGUGAGCAACGGCGACGAGCUCGCUCGGCUUCGAGAGAGAGAGCAAGAGAGGUGAUGUAGGGAGAGAGGGGAGCGGUCGAGGGGGUCCUGGGGGUAGUGUGGCGAUGCCAGAGGCGUCCAGACCGUCGAGGAGGCAGGCGAGCAGGGUGGAGGUGGCGCGCGCAUGCACCGUGCCCAGCUUCUCCUCUGCCUACUGGCAAGAGGUAGAAGACGAGGUUGCCCCUGGUGCGCUAGCUAGCUAGGCUGCAAUAGUGCCAGGCCAGGUAAGCCAGGUGGGUUUCUCUCUCUCUCUCUACUCCAUUUCUAUUUUAGUUUCUCUUUUCUAUUAUUCUGUAGUCUUUAGGGCUUUAUUACAAAUACUUAAACAGAUCUGAAAAUCAUGAAACUGCUCAAUGCCACUGUUUGGAAUAUAACCAACAGCAAAAAAUUUAGUUUAUGAUUAUUUGAGCAUUUAAAAUAUUUAAUAGCAUUUAUAUGCCCAAAUGUAAAUACUAUAUGAUUUAAUUCAGAGCCCAAAUAUGUCAUGGAAAAAUGUGCAACACCUCUGGUUAUUGCCUCUAGCAUUUUCCAUAAAUGAUGAACAUUUUUGAAAGCCAUUUGGAUUCACUAAGAAUAUUUUAGUUGAACCUAGUGAAUUCCUUUGAUGCUAGGGUUUAAACAAUCCCUAUUUCAAGUUCAUUUGAAACUAAAACAUGAUGCACAUAUGAAGCUAGCCUAGUGCAAUGCCAGAAGCUAGGGAUGUGACACUAUCAUUGACAUAAGACACCUCAGGGUCUUCGUUCUUAGGCUUAUACCAUUGGUGGAUGAUGAUCGGGAUCAUGUCCCUAACAAGAAGCCCGCACCGAGAAGAAAAUGCUUCCUUGGUCCGGAUGGGUUCAAUCGGUUGGCCAUUGCGCGCGAUAGUUGUGAUCGUGAACCUUUCAUCCUGGCGCAACUUUUUCUUCGGGCCUCGUCUCAUUACCGAAGUGUUGCUCGAUUCGGAGGGCUAGAAAAGAAAAAAGAAGAGAGUUAAUAUGUGUACAUACCAAAACAAGUAAUAUAUACCUGGCCGGACUCUGUUCGAUCGCCGGAGCAGUCAUCAUAGUGUACUUCUUCCACCGGCAUUCGGUCAUCCGAGCCAUCAUAAUCAUGUCCUUCCUCCUCCAUUGUUCGAUAACCGUAGCCUUCUUCUUCACCCUGUCCUUCCAGACCAUCGGUGUCGUUGAGAUACAACAAGACAUCAGCUCCGGCUGCGAUUAUGUCCCCCAACACCUGUUCUGCUUCCUCGUCCCGGCUGUGCUCCAUAGUUUCUGCAAAUAUUACAACAUGGCAAUUAUUAUACAAACAUGACAAAUGGAUAUAUUAGUGGCAAACGUAGACCUAGCUAGCUAAUCACAACAAGGAAUCAUAUUAGUGACCUCGACGCUUCUCUAGGGCUUGGGGUGGCCUCGGUAACGCUUCAAGGGUUCGGGGUGGCCUCGACAACAAUGCUCUUUUAACUUGGUAAAUUUGGGUGGCCUCGACAGCGCUUCUAGUGUUUGAAUCAACUUGUGCACAUCCAUAAUGGGGGCAUUCUUGAUAAAUCUGGACCCUCGACCCCUGGACGACCCUCGACUGCUCGGCGAUCCAUGACCCUCUACCCUAUUUCCCGACCCUCGACCCCCUCAUGUCACGUUUGUCUAGUGUCAAAGUAUUCAACAAAACCAUGUCUUCAUCAUUAGUCGAAAGUAACAGGCGCAUGAUGGUACGAAGUUCUGCAAAGUUGUUCUGGAACGGAGUCCCAGAUAGGAUAAUUCGUUUUUUCGUACAAAGUUCAGCAAGAGCCUCCCGGAUAUCGCUAUUUGGAAGCCUUUGCAUAACUUCAUACAAAAAGGCGAAUUAUCCUAUCCGGGACUCCGUUCCAAAAUAACUUUGCACAACUUCAUACCAUCAUGCCCCGGUUACUUCCGGCUAAUGAUGAAGCCAUGGAUUUCUUCAAUACUUUGUUGACACUAGGCAACCUCUCGACCCCUCGGCGAUCCUCGACCCUUGACCGCUCGGACGAUCCACGACCCUCUACCCUAUUUCCCGACCCUCGACCCCCUCAUGUCACGUUUGUCUAGUGUCAAAGGAUUUAACAAAACCAUGUCUUCAUCAUUAGGCGAAAGUAACAGGCGCAUGAUGGUAUGAAGUUCUACAAAGUUGUUCUGGAACAGAGUCCUAUAUAGGAUAAUUCGUUUUUUCGUACAACGUUCAACAAGAGCCUUCCGAAUAUCGCUAUUUGGAAGGCUUUGCUGAAAUUUGUACAAAAAGGUGAAUUAUCCUAUCCGGGACUCCAUUCCAAAACAACUUUGCACAACUUCGUACCAUCAUGCCCCAGUUACUUCCGGCUAAUGAUGAAGCCAUGGAUUUCUUCAAUACUUUGACACUAGGCAACCUCUCGACCCCUCGGUGAUCCUUAACCCUCGAACCCUCGGCGACCCUCGACCCCUCGGCAUUCCUCGACCCUCCAACCAUAGGCCCCUUGAUGACCCUCAAAUCUUCGACCCUCAAACCCUUAGCGACCCUCAAACCUCUACCCUAAUGGUGGCGGGGCGGCGCACGGUGCCAGCGCAGGGCUGGGGCGGCAGCACGGCGGCCGCGCAGGGCAGGAAUAGGAGGAGAGGAGGGGAUCGGGGCGACGCUCACAGCGAGGACGCAGGGCGCGAUGACGACGUCGGUGCAGGGCGUGACGACAGCGUCGAUCUGUGUAGGGUGCGGGGCCAGCGACGACGAGGCAGGGCCGACGACAAGGAGUAGGGUGUCGGCGUCAGGGCGCAGGGCAACGACGACGAGGAGCAGGGCGUCGGCGUCGGGGCGCAGGGCUACGGCGAUGAGGAGCAGGGCGUCGGCGUCGCGGAGAAUGAGAAACUGCUGAAAAUUUCACAAGUGCGGGAUUAUAUACCCACACCAUUGGUCGCAGUUUGUGGCACAAACCGGGAUGAAUGCCCCCCUUUAGUCCCGGUUGGUGCCACCAAUCGGGACCAAAGGUCUCUUUUCAGCAACCCAAAGGGCGGGAAGCAGAGACCUUUUGUCCCNNNNNNNNNNNNNNNNNNNNNNNNNNNNNNNNNNNNNNNNNNNNNNNNNNNNNNNNNNNNNNNNNNNNNNNNNNNNNNNNNNNNNNNNNNNNNNNNNNNNNNNNNNNNNNNNNNNNNNNNNNNNNNNNNNNNNNNNNNNNNNNNNNNNNNNNNNNNNNNNNNNNNNNNNNNNNNNNNNNNNNNNNNNNNNNNNNNNNNNNNNNNNNNNNNNNNNNNNNNNNNNNNNNNNNNNNNNNNNNNNNNNNNNNNNNNNNNNNNNNNNNNNNNNNNNNNNNNNNNNNNNNNNNNNNNNNNNNNNNNNNNNNNNNNNNNNNNNNNNNNNNNNNNNNNNNNNNNNNNNNNNNNNNNNNNNNNNNNNNNNNNNNNNNNNNNNNNNNNNNNNNNNNNNNNNNNNNNNNNNNNNNNNNNNNNNNNNNNNNNNNNNNNNNNNNNNNNNNNNNNNNNNNNNNNNNNNNNNNNNNNNNNNNNNNNNNNNNNNNNNNNNNNNNNNNNNNNNNNNNNNNNNNNNNNNNNNNNNNNNNNNNNNNNNNNNNNNNNNNNNNNNNNNNNNNNNNNNNNNNNNNNNNNNNNNNNNNNNNNNNNNNNNNNNNNNNNNNNNNNNNNNNNNNNNNNNNNNNNNNNNNNNNNNNNNNNNNNNNNNNNNNNNNNNNNNNNNNNNNNNNNNNNNNNNNNNNNNNNNNNNNNNNNNNNNNNNNNNNNNNNNNNNNNNNNNNNNNNNNNNNNNNNNNNNNNNNNNNNNNNNNNNNNNNNNUUUAGUUGAUUCCUUUUGCUAUUAGAGUUUCAUUAAGUUUUCUAGUUCAUUAUUUUUUCUAUUAGAGUUUCAUUAAAGUUUUCUAUUUCAUUAUUUUAGUUUAUUAUUUUUGCUACUAGAGUUUCAUAAAAGUUUUCCAGAUCAUUCUUUUUUAUAUUACUUCAUUCUUUGAGCUAAAUGACCCUGAAAUUGAAAAGCACUUCAGAUGAACUCUUGAGAGGUUGAAAAUUGGCAUGGUAUCAUCAUUUCACCCACAUAGCAUGUGCUAAAAAGUUGAGAGGGUUACGGCAAAAACUGGAUGCACUUCGUGUACAAAACAGGCAAUAUGUUUUGAAGUAUCAGGGUUUCAGAUGAAAGCUCAUAUGUUACAAAGGGAUUUCAUUUGUUAAACUUAUUUGAACUCCAGAGUUUUUGUGUGUUCAAAAUGCACCAUUCAAAGCCACAUCAUCAAUUUUCAACCCUUUCUGACUUCAUUUAUUAUUUUUCAUGCAUUUACUGAUUUUUUGAGCUAUAUGACCCUGAAAAUGAAAAGCACUACAAAUGUACUCUGAAAAGGUUGAAAGUUGGCAUGGUAUCAUCAUUUGACCCACAUAGCAUGUGCUAAAAAGUUGAGACGGUUACGGCAAAAACUGGAUGCACUUCAUGUACAAAAUGGACAAUCUCUUUCGAAGUAUCAGGGUUUCAUACGGAAACUCGUCUGUUACAUUGAAAUUCUAGAUCAAAGGCAUCAUCAUAAUAGUUGUGGAGGGAAAAGUCUUCACUUUUUCUUAGCUUGUGUCCGUUGCUUAUUGUGUUGUAACCAUGGAUAAUCUUCAUUGUUUAACAGGGUGCUUGGGUCAGCCCUGACUUUGAAGGGAGGAAUUUCAUGAAAAUUUUCACAAUCUUUGGACAUGUUUGUCUUGCCCUCCACUCCCACGAUCUCUCUUUUUCCUAAAAGAACUAUGUGGCGCUUUGGCUCAUCGUAUGAUGUGUUUGCUUCCUUAUCUUUUCUUUUUGUCACACCCUAGCUAGUUCAAGCAUUAGAGUGUGCAUCAUGUUUAAAUUCCUCUUAAAUUUGAAAUGGGGAAGACAGAACCCCCAGCACCCCCCUGGAACAACUAGGGUUUACUAAAAACUUUUUCAAUGAACUUGAAAUGCCCUUCUAAAAAGCCCACCCUUUUUGUUUUGGGUUAAAACCCCUGACAAAAAUGGUGCACAUUUUUCUAGGACAUCUUAAGGUCAUUGGAUUAAUCCUUAUAGUAUUUGCAUUUGGGCAUUUAAAUGCUAUAAAACAUUUUAAAUGCUCAAAUAAUCAUAAACUAAAAUGUUUGCUGUUGGAUAUAUUCUAAGCAGUAGCCAUGAUUAAUUUUAUGAUUUAUGGAAAUGCCCUGGCAUUUUUAAUAAAGCCCUGAAGUUACAGAAAUAAUAGAAUAAAUAAAAAAACAGAAAAAGAAAGAGAGAGAGAGAGGAACUUACCAGCGCAGCCAACCUAGCCCACCAGCCGGCCCACCUGGCGGCCUAGCACUGUGCUGGCUCGCGCCAGCCAGCUGCUUCUUCCCCGCCAGGCAGGCAGGGAGGUGACGCCGGCGCGCCUAAGCUCGCCACGGCGCCACCUGCUUGCCACCCGCGCCCUGGACGCCUGGACGCCUCCACGUCACACCCCGAAGCCCCUGGACACGCCAUUCCCCCCUGUCUCUCUCCCUUCGCCGUUCCCCACCAUGGUCAACGCCCCUGUCGCCGCACCGUCGUCAUAGCCGUGCCUUCCGUCGUCCUCGCGCCGCGCCAUCGUGUCCACGAGCUCCGCUGUUGUCGAUUACAUCGAGUGGGUCGAGCCCCGAGCGCUCGCUCGCCCCGGAGAUGCUACACCGAGCUCGCCCUCAACUCCGGCCACCGGAGAUCCCCUUCGCCGUCCCCGCCGCAUCAGCUCAUCCCCGACCUUGCUGACUGCCUCGACGAGACCCCCGUGAGCCCAGCCACCUCCCCACCCUCUCUGUUCUCUCUCUCGAGUCCCGUAGCGGCUGCAUGUAGAUCACCCGCACGCAUCGCCGCGGAGCUCGUCGCCGACGAGGCUCCGGCCACCCAAUGGCCACGCCACCCUGUCCACUAGUCCUACCACACCUCCAGGAGCUCAACGCACCAAACCACGUGCCUCCCCGUGCCCCCUAGCGACUAGUUCAUCCUCACCCGAGCUCCGGCCGCCGGCAAACUCGUCGCCGACGACGUUUCCGGCCACCCCAGCUCCACCCACUACCACCACUUGACGCGGUUUCCUCCCCGCAUCACGUAGAUGGUCUCCGCCGUCCUUUUGGUCGCCGGAGUGCAAAUCCCGCACUGCUCCGUCGUGUCUGGCCUCGCCGACGGCUAGACGCCAGCGAGUUGACCCUGUUUGACCCCGUGUGGGCCCAGGUUGACCCCCCCUGAGUCUAUGAUAGGUGGGGCCGGCCUUCUAAUUGGUAUAGGAUUAGUUUUAACUAAUUUUAAUUAGUUUCAUCACUGACAUGUGGUCCCAGGCCCCACUGACAGUUAAUUAGUGUUCAUUUAAUUAUGUUAAUUAGCUGAGUCACUGACAGACAGGGCCCACCAGUCAGGUUUGACCUGGCCGACCCAGUUGACCCGCUGACGUCACACCUAUGUCAUGCUGACGCAUUAAUUCAAUUACUGGAUUUAUUCUUAUAUAGGAAAUUCCAGAAAAUAGCCAAAACUUCUAAAAAUCAUAGAAAAUCAACCAUAGCUCCAAAUCAAACAAUUUAUAUAUGAAAAAUGAUCAGAAAAAUUCAAUCUAUCCAUCUGUAAUGGUUUCAUGCAUAACAAAACAACUUAACCAUGCUGUUUAAGCAGAAUAAGAUAAUGCACUAAUAAGGCCAUAUUAAAUGAGCUAACAUUUGAAUCUUUGAUUCAAAUGAGUUCAUUCCUUCCUAUUUUAGCUUGCAUUAGGCCAAGACACAUUCAUUUUGCCAUGUCAUAGCAUGCAUCAUAUUGUUGCAUAUUGUCAUAUGUUGAUUAUGUUCGGUGUGACUUUCGUGGUAGGUUCUGCCUCCGAGGAUAACCCCGAGUAUCCAUUUGAAGGGCAGUACCCUACUACCACUACAACAGGCAAGCAACCCAUUGAUCAUUCCGAUACAAACCCAUGUUCUCGCUUCUGCUCUUGUUUAUUGCAUUAAGACAACGCGAUUCAAACUGUUGUGUGCUACGGUAGUUGAACCCAUAUCCUCUGCAUGACCUGUCAUUGCCACAGUAACUAGAUGAAACCCACUAGCAUGUGUAGGAGUUGAUUGAGCCAUGUAUGUGAUUCCUACCUUGCUAUGCCUGCUAUGCUUAGAGUUGUGUCAGGUCUGGUUCAUCUGGGUGAUGGGCUAGAGUGAAACGAUUAUGUCGGUAAUGUGAGGGAUGUGUUGAACAUGACUUGGUAAAGGUAUCAAUGAGAGGCCAUGUAGGAGUACAUGGUGGGUUGUUUCAUUGGGACCAUCCCUAAGAACUGAGAUCUGUAUGUGUGAUUUUAAGAAUCAGCUACUACCAUGCAUUGGGAUCCUUAAUUGACCCUCACGGCGGCUUAAUCACCCUAGUACUCUGUCCAGGAGUUGCAAAUAGUUUCUGGUGUUUGUAGGUUAUGUGUUGGCGGCCGUGCAUAGCGUGACCCUAGGGGUGGGAUAUGUUGCGCUAGAUACACCAUGGCCGGGUAUGCCUGGCGUCCGUUUGGCGUCUCGGGACCCUGUUCACAUUGUUCGGGGCCGUAUGAGGAAACCUCGACCGGACUCCCUGCAGAUGGAACCUGGAUAGGCGAUGAACCUGGACUAGAGACUUGAGUGUUUAGGUAGGCCGUGGCUGACACCCUCGUUGGGCUUCUGCUUGAAGGUUGCCGAGUACAUGUCGUGUAAACGGCGGUAAGUGGUGAAAGUGUGUAUGAAGAAGUACACCCCUGCAGGGUAUAAAACUAUUCGAAUAGCCGCGUCCGCGGUAAAGGACUACUUGGUUGCCUAUACAGUUCAUAGACAAGUUAAUGGUUACUACUAAAAGACUCAAGAUAAGUGUGAGUACCGAGGAUGGCCCUCUCGUAGGAUGACGAGGGAGGAUCCCCGAUGGAGUAUUGUGUUUGUGAGUAGUGGACUCGUGUGCGAAAACUAUUUUACUAGUGGAGUCUCAUAGGAUAGCUUAGCCAAGAGUCAAAGCUGGCUUGCUGCAAUAACCCCACCACCUUCUUGAGAAUGAGCAUGUAUAGUAGGUUCUGUUGUAAGGCUUGCAGAGUACCUUGUACUCAUGUUUGCUUAAUUACUGCUUUCAGAUGACAACACCACCCCCUCUGAUGGGUUCUACGUAGACCUUGAUGUCGACGAGUGACUAGCCACCCAGGUGGUGAUCCUGGCCAUGGAGGGCCCUAUGUAGAUAGACAGGCUCCGAGAAGCCUUCUUGCUUUCUAGUGUCUGUACUCAGACUACUUGCUUCCGCAUGUGCUUGUAUGCUUGUAUGACUUGAGUGUCGGGUCAUGUGACCCCUACUCGUAUGAACAUGUUAUGUAUGGCUCUCUGGAGCCUCUAAAUAAAGUACUUGAGUUGUAGAGUUUUAUUGUGAUGCCAUGUUGUAUGCACUCAUAUCGGGCAUAUUGUGUGUAUGAUUGAAAUGCUCGGUAUGAGCGGGAUCCGACAAUCUAGUUGUUUAUCCUUGGCCGCCUUUUCUUAUGGGGAAAUGUAGUCUAGUGUUCCUCGAGCCAUAGUAGUCCGCUACAGCCCGGUUCACCGGAGUCCUGCUAGUCUAGCACUACUGCUCAGGACACUUGAAUGGCCGGCAUGUGUUUCACUUCGUUCCUAUGUCUGUCCCUUCGGGGAAAUGUCACGCGGUGACAUCCGGAGUCCUGCCUAGCCUGCUACAGCCCGGGUUCCCCGGAGUCCUGUUAGCCUAGUGCUACAGCCCGGAUUCACUCGCUGAUGACCGACAUGCUCGAUGUGAUUCAUGUAUGCCUGUCUCCAUAGGUCUGUGCCGCUUUGGGUUCACGACUAGCCAUGUCGGCCCAGGUUCUCUGUCAUAUGGAUGCUAGCGACACUAUCAUAUACGUGAGCCAAAAGGCGCAAACUGUCCCGGGCCAUGGUAAGGCGACACCCGUGGGAUACCAUGCGUGAGGCCGCAAUGUGAUAUGAGGUUUUACCGGCUAGAUCAAUGUGACUUGGAAUCGGGGUCCUGGCACUUUUUCUCGGUUUGGUAGACAUGUCCUUCACAUAGAAAACCUGCGCCACAUCAUUGGCUAGGACGAAUGGUUCGUCUGUGUAGCCAAGAUUGUUCAGAUCCACUGUUGUCAUUUCGUACAGAUUGACCCAUUUGCACUUAAAAUCAUGUCCGUAGUCAAGUUCCCAUAUGUCCACUAUGUAACCAUAAUAUGUGUCCUUUCCCCUCUUUGUUGCUGCAUCAAAGCGGACACCGCUGUUUUGGUUGGUGCUCUUUUGAUCUUGGGCGAUCGUGUAAAAUGUAUUCCCAUUUACUCGUAUCCUUUGUAAGUCAAUACAGUCGAAGAUGGUCCCUUAGACAAUGAGUACAGCUCAUCAAAAACAGUGUUGUCACCUCUGAGACGUGUUUCCAACCAAUUGCCAAAAGUCCUGAUGUGUUCACAUGUAAUCCAGUCGUCACACUGCUCCGGGUAUUUGGAGUGCAGACUGUUCUUGUGUUCAUCGACAUACGAGGCCACCAAGGUAGAGUUCUUUAGAACUGUGUAGUGUGCUUAAGACCAAGAAUGCCCGUCCCUGCAUAUUAUUGAGUCCCCUCCUAGUGUGCCUUUUUCCAAUCAGUCUCCCCUCAUACCGCGAUUUAGAGAGACCAAUCUUCUUAAGGCCAGGAAUGACGUAAACACAAAACCCAAUGACAUCCUCUGUUUGAAGGCCCAUGGAGAUGCUUCCUUCUGGCCUAGCGCGGUUACGGACAUAUUUCUUUAGGACUCCCAUGAACCUCUCAAAGGGGAACAUAUUGUGUAGAAAUACGAGACCCAGAACGACAAUCUCGUCGACUAGAUGAACUAGGACGUGUGUCAUGAUAUUGAAGAAGGAUGUUUGGAACACCAGCUUGAAACUGACAAGACAUUGCGCUACAUCACUCCUUAGCCUUGGUAUGAUUUCUGGAUCGAUCACCUUAAUUCACAUAGCUUCACAAUGGCUAAUCAGACAUUUUCUGGUAGAAGCCCCCUCAAUGCAAUCGGAAGCAGUUGCGUCAUAAUCACGUGGUAGUCAUGAGGCUUUAGGUUCUGAAACUUUUUCUCGGCCAUAUUUUUAUUCCCUUUAUAUUCGACAAGAAGCCAGACGGGACCUUCAUACUGAGCAGGCAUUCAAAUAAGAUUUCCUUCUCUUCUUUGGUAAGAGUGUAGCUGGCAGGACAUCUUUUUCGUACUGAUUUGGAGGCAUGUCAUCUUUUUCAUGCAAAUGUUGCAAGUCCUCCCGUGCCUCUGGUGUAUCUUUUGUCUUCCCAUACACACCCAUGAAGCCUAGCAGGUUCACGCAAAGGUUCUUCAUCAAGUGCAUCACGUCGAUUGAAGAGCGGACCUCUAGUUCUUUCCAGUAGGGUAGGUCCCAAAAUAUAGAUUUCUUCUUCCACAUGGGUGCACGUCCCUCAGCGUCAUUCGGAACAAAUAGUCCACCAGGACCCUUUCCAAAGAUUAUGUGUAAAUCAUUGACCAUAGCAAGUACGUGAUCACCGGUACGCAUGGUGGGUUUCUUCUGGUGAUCUGCCUCGCCUUUGAAAUGCUUGCCUUUCUUUCGAUAUUGAUGGUUGGUCGGAAGAAAUCGACGAUGGCCCAGGUACACAUUCUUCCUGCAUUUGUCCAGGUAUAUACUUUUGGUGUCAGCUAAACAGUGCGUGCAUGCGUGGUAUCCUUUGGUUGUCUGUCCUGAAAGGUUACUGAGAGCGGGCGAAUCGUUGAUGGUUACGAACAGCAACACGUGCAGGUUAAAUUCCUCCUGUUUGUGCUCAUCCCACACACGUACACCGUUUCCAUUCCACAGAUGUAAAACUUCUUCAACUAAUGUCCUUAGGUACACAUCAAUGUCAUUGCCGCAUUGCUUAGGGCCUUGGAUGAGAACUGACAUCACAAUGAACAUACGCUUCAUGCACAUCCAAGGAGGAAGGUUAUACAUACAUAGAUUCAUGGGCCAGGUGCUAUGAUUGCUGCUCUGCUCCCCGAAAGGAUUAAUGCCAUCCAUGCUUAAACCAAACCAUAAGUUCCUUAGGUCACCUGCAAACUCGGCCCAGUACUUUCUCUCGAUUUUUCUCCACUGCGACCCGUCAGCUGGUGCUCUCAACUUCCCGUCUUUAUUACGGUCCUCUCUAUGCCAUCGCAUCAACUUGGCACGCUCUUCAUUUCUGAACAGACGUUUCAACCGUGGUAUUAUAGGAGCAUACCACAUCACCUUCGCAGGAACCCUCUUCCUGUGGGGCUUGCCGUCAACAUCACCAGGGUCAUCUCGUCUGAUCUUAUACCGUAAUGCACCGCAUACCGGGCAUGCGUUCAAAUCCUCGUAUGCACCGUGGUAGAGGAUGCAGUCAUCAGGGCAUGCAUGUAUCUUCAGCACCUCCAAUCCUAGAGGGCAUAUGACCUUCUUUGCUGCGUACGUACUGUCGGGCAAUUCGUUAUCCUUUGGAAGCUUCUUCUUCAAAAUUUUCAGUAGCUUCUCAAAUCCUUUGUCAGGCACAACAUUCUCUGCCUUCCACUGCAGCAAUUCUAGUACGUUACCGAGCUUUGUGUUGCCAUCUUCGCAAUUGGGGUACAACCCUUUUUUGAUCAUCUAACAUGCGAUCGUACUUCAGCUUCUCCUUUUGACUUUCGCAUUGUAUCCUUGCAUCAACAAUGACCCGGCGGAGAUCAUCAUCAUCGGGCACAUCGUCUGGUUCCUCUUCAUCUUCAGCAUCUCCCCCCGUUGCAGCAUCAGAGUAUUCAGGGGGCACAUAGUUGUGAUCGUCCUCUUCUUCUUCGCUGUCUUCCAUCAUAACCCCUAAUUCUCCGUGCUUGGUACAAAUAUUAUAGUGUGGCAUGAAACCCUUAUAAGGAAGGUGGGUGUGAAGGAUUUUCCGGUCAGAGUAAGACUUCGUAUUCCCACAUAUAGGGCAUGGACAACACAUAAAACCAUUCUGCUUGUUUGCCUCAGCCACUACGAGAAAAUUAUGCAGGCCCUUAAUGUACUCGGAGGUGUGUCUGUCAUCGUACAUCCAUUGCCGGUUCAUCUGUGUGCAUUGUAUAUAACUAUGUGUGUCAAAAACCAUUACAGAUUCACAUUGAUAGAUAAGUGACCAAAUUAAUAGGAGUUCAUCAUCACAUUAAAACAAAAGUACAUACAUAGUUCUCAUUGAACAACAUAUAGCUCUCUAGAGCAUCUAAUUAAACCAUACAUUGAAACUAUGUAAAACCUUUCUACGCAACAACAAAUGCGAUCAUAAUCACAACCAAGGUAACAAUUGAUCCAACGGCUUAAUGAUACCAAGCCUCGGUAUGAAUGGCAUAUUUUCUAAUCUUUCUAAUCUUCAACCGCAUUUCAUCCAUCUUGAUCUUGUGAUCAUCGACGACAUCCGCAACAGGCAACUCCAAUAUCAUCUUCUCCUCCUCAAUUUUUUUAUUUUUUACUUCAAGUAAUUGUUUUAUUCUUCAACUAAAUUUAACCUCUCGACAAUAGUGUCGGUUGGAAUUUCUAGUUCACAUACCUCCUAUAUAAAUAAAUCCUAUGUCACGUUGGCCGGCAUAAUUGUCAUAAACAAUAAAUGAACCAAAUAGUUAUAAAAGAUAAUAUAUACGACAUCCGAAUCAUAGCCAGGAUGAGGGCCGAUGGGGGCGGAUAUCAAAACCAUUGCACUAUAUAAUAACAAGCAAUAAUAAAAGUAAGAAAAUUAGACAAGUGUCUAUCUAAAGUAAGAAUUUUUUUUCUUUCAGAAAGAAGAUAAGAACAAGAGGCUCACCACGAUGGUGCCGGCGACGAGAUCGGCGCGGGCAAUCGACGGAGGUGAAGACAGGGACCGCUAAACCUAGACAAAUCUCAGGGAAAAUGGAGCUUGGAGGUCGAGCUUCGUGAGGAGAAAGCUUAACUAGUGUGGCUCGGGCAUUUCAUUGAAUACCUCAUGUGCAUAGGAGGUGAGCUAGAGCACCACAAAGCUCUCCCCUCACCGGCCAGAAAAAACAGAACACUGUGGAGUGCUCUGCCGUGGCGAUGGGGUAUAUAUAGCCACCUCAUUGGUCCCGGUUCGUGGCUGGAACAGGGACUAAAGGCCCCCCUUCUGUCCCAGUUCUAGACAUGAACCGGGACCAAUGGCUGUGGGCCAGGAGCGAGGACCAUUGGUCCCGGUUCGUGCCUAGAACCGGGCCAAAUGGGUCCACACGAACUGGGACAAAUGCCUCCCGAGGCCCGGCCGGCUCCCUGGGCGCACGAAUCGGGACAUAUGCCCCCCAUGGGUCCCGGUUCAUGACUGAACUAGGACUAAUGGGUUGGCCAGGCCCCAAACAAAGCCAUGUUUUCUACAAGUGCUAGUCGGCCGCCCCUUCCUUCUUCGGAGGGGGAAAUGGGGAAGGAGAGGGAGAGGGAGAAGGAAAGGGGGGGGGGGGGGCGCGCCCCCUCCCCUUGUCCAAUUUGAACUCCCCAGGGGGGCGCCACCCCUUGUGGGCAGCCCUCUCUCUCCCCUAUGGCCCAUAGUGGCCCAUUACUUUCCCCGAGGGGUUCCGGUAACCCCUCGGUACUCCGAUAAAUAUCCAAAACACUCCGAAACCAUUCCGGUGCCCGAAUACUAUUGUCCAAUAUAUCAAUAUUUACCUUUCGACCAUUUCGAGACUCCUCAUCAUGUCCAUGAUCUCAUCCGCGACUCCGAAAAAUCUUCGGUCACCAAAACACAUAACUCAUAAUACAAAUCGUCAUCAAACGUUAAGCAUGUGGACCCUAUGGGUUCGAGAACUAUGUAGACAUGACCGAGACACGUCUCCGAUCAAUAACCAACAGCGGAACCUAGAUGCUCAUAUUAGUUCCUACAUAUUCUACGAAGAUAUUUAUCGGUAAAACCGAAUGACAACAUACGUCAUUCCCUUUGUCAUCGGUAUGUUACUUGCCUGAGAUUCGAUCGUCGGUAUCCUCAUACCUAGUUCAAUCUCGUUACUGAAAAAUAUCUUUACUUGUUCUGUAAUGCAUCAUCCCGCAACUAACUCAUUAGUCACAUUGCUUGCAAGGCUUAUUAUGAUGUGCAUUACCGAGAGGCCCCAGAGAUACCUCUUCGAUACUCGGAGUGACAAAUCCUAAUCUCAAUCUAUGCCAACCCAACAGACACCUUCGGAGACCCCUGUGGAGAAUCUUUAUAAUCACCCAGUUACAUUGUGACAUUUGAUAACACACAAGUUGUUCCUCCGGUAUUCGGGAGUUGCAUAAUCUCAUAGUCGAAGGAAUAUGUAUAAGUCAUGAAGAAAGCAAUAGCAAUAAAACUUAACGAUCAUUAUGCUAAGCUAACGGGUGGGUCUUGUCCAUCACAUCAUUCUCCUAAUGAUGUGAUCCACUACAAGAAAUAUGAUAACUCGUGACCUCCACUAUUGGUCACUGAAAGGUCAUAGUUUUUAAUUUGCGACCUUUUUGUGACCAAAAACAGAAGGUCAAAAGCUGGUGGUCGUAAACUGAAAUUAACGACCUUCUCUGUGAGAAGGUUGUAGACAUUUUUGACCAAAAUAUUCCUAUUGUUUUGUUUUGGUCACUAGCAGCCUCCCCUGGCCAUGUGGGCAUCCGACGUGGCAAUCUGAUGUGGCACAAGAAUCAGCCUGGUCCAAUUUGAUUUUCUACAUGGGCCUAGCCCAACAAUUCAGCCUAUUUGUGUUUUUCUCUGUCUGUCAAUUUUUGGUUGGGUUCAUGGGCCAAGCCCAAUAUUGCAGCCUUUUUAUUGUUGGGUUGUGGCCUUUUUGUAUAAACGAAUUUAGUUUUUCUUUUUUUCCCAAAAGAAGGGUCCACUAGUCAGAUGGGUCCCAGUUGUCAGGUUCUAGUAACAUCAUCAGUUGGUUGUAGCCUUUCCAGGCGCAGUACAAAGGAAUACAAUUUUGCCCAUAUUUAUUGUUGAGAAAUUUUCAUAAUUUUGCUGUCAAAGCAGCAUGUACACAGGAAUACAAUUUUGCUAUCAAAGCAACAUUUCAAACGUACAUCUUCAUGACAUCAUACAUAAAAACCAGCAAUAAAAAGAUUACAAUAUGCCAUUUGGCUCAAAUCACAUAACAUAUGACAUCCAGGUUCCAGCAACGAAAAAAGAUAACCACCACAUCAUACCAUCUGCACAUUCAAAGAGAACAAACUAUAUGUCAAAAGAGAACUGAGAAGAAAAUUGCCAAUAAAAGAAAGAAGAUAAUAUACUCUAUAAUUACUACAGAUUUGCUCACUAGACACACACACACACACACACACACACACACACUCUGCAUAUACAGAUUUGCUCCCCGCAAAAACAAUUCUGAACAGUUCGCUAUAAUAAUUUACGGCAAAGAAAUUCCCAAAACAGAGAAUGGUACAUCUCGAAAUUCCCCAAAAACAGAGGAAAUGCGACAUCCAUGACAAGCUGUGCCAUUACUAGAGGAUUUGAUUAAACCAACAAGUUGGAGUGUGUUGAAUAGAUAAAAGAAACUCAAUUAAUGGGGCAAUGCAAAUUCUUUACUCACUACCACACGGCAUUCACCUGUGAUUGAACCCUGCGGGCACAUACAAAUUAUCACUUAACCCGGUUAUGGAAUGAGCUGGUGCAAGAAUGAGGUAAUUCCUACUUUACGUUGGACUAACCAAACACUGUCCUUUAGUAUGUAAAACCUUCUGUUCUUCCAAAAGAUUCAGUAGUGGGCUAAAUUCUUUACUCACUACAGUUUCAACUAUUCCAUCUGGAAAAAAUUACCAGAAAAUCUCUGCAGAUAACCAUUACCACCAAUCAGUUGUGACUCAAUUCUUCUUUCUUGACCCAAAUGCAUUCUUUCAGGCCAAACAGAAUUGAGCCUCCUAGCGAAAUCUUAAACUUCCCUGUUUGUUCAGAAAUGAAGCAUGUCAUUAAUUCACACGAGGGCUUUUGUACAGGAAUAUGAGCAGUAAAUUCGUUAUAGCAUUUUCAGUAUACAUAAUAAAAGAAUAAUCAAAUAUAAACAGCAGUGAGCCCAAGUACUAGCAAAUAGAUCUUCUGCAUAGAACACUACAUCUUAGAAAAGAGAACUAGGGGUAGGAGAGGGAGCCGCUCACCGAUGAGCUUGUGGUCGCUGCCAUACAUAGUCGCCGUCACGCCGAUCACCGUGCGCAAGAGCAGAGCACCGCUGCACCGGUGACACACACCAUGCGCAAGAGCAGAGCACCUGCUGCAUCCAAAUCCAAACCAAACAAAAAUUAGGAAUGGUUGCAGCCAUGCUUUUUAAGGCACACAAUACAUCAGUUCAGAUUGCUGUCAUUGAGAGACACAAAGACCAGACAAAAUAGUGGACUAUUUAACCCUGUAAUAAAGAAGCAAAAUCUCACAAGAGAGUGAAGUCACUAGCAAAAGGAAGAGUAAUAGAUGAAGAAAACAUCCUGACAUACAAAGGUAAGUCAUUGUGCAUUUUCUUUUUCAAUGUGAUACACAAUAAGCAUAAGUAACCACCGGUCAUUAACUAGACACGUUCCAACAUAGGAAAAACAAUUAUAGAGGUGCGACUUCAGGUACAAACAUAGCAAGGCCACAACAGCCACACAGUCACUUAACUACAAUGAGCUCCCGGAGUGUGGCAUCCUUCCACGUGUAAAUCUGAACUUCAUCUUUUGGCUGCUUCCCUCUCUCAGAAAAUUCUUCAUUUAGGUGAUGGCCACCAACCUAGAAAAAAAAUAACCAGGAUCAGUUUUCUGUAUUACUGUGGAUUUAUUCACAAAUCUGCAGUCUGCGCUGAGAAGACAUCGUUCAGAACUGUUACAGAAGAUAAAAGUUGGAGAGUGUACGGAUCUCUACUUGUCUAUUUUCCAGAUAGC
rnacentral:lncRNA from 1 species